rnacentral:lncRNA from 1 species
CCAAACAGAAACAACGACCUCAUCGCACUGAAACCUCAAACCAAGUUUACAAGUGUCUCUGUCAAGUUCAUUCAGGCUCUCACAGGCUGUAAUCACUGUCAAAGGGUCAAGCAACCAUAAUAAACAUACUCUUGGCACAAUCUGAUGCAAAAACAGCAAUCUUGGUACACCGUCAACCACAACGGCACCCAACAGUUCGGAACAGUCUAAACACUACUGUAAAAAUACACUCGGUAUCCUAGCACGAGUGUAAAUUCAUUCUACAUUAUUCUAGAUAUCCAUCGCCUACAAACUGCGACGAUACAAACAAAUUACAGCUCCUAAAGCUAAAUCUGGUAGUUUUCAGAAAAUGACAGUGUAGAGGUUAUGGUUUUCUCCUAAGUCAAAUCCAAGUCCAACAUAUAUAAUCAAUCUAGCAUUCUAAGCUCCAAUUCAGAUUUUAUUUAAGAACAAUGCAAAUCUACGAAUCGAGCUAUUAAACAUGAUAUCCAAAAAUUUAAUAAUACAUGCUGUCAACUGAAGUUUAGGAGCAAAUCCGAAAAUUUCGGUAGCUUAACAUCAACCCACCUCAAAAGCGCGUCCAACAACAGUGAGAAGUCGCAAGGAAAGGAAAUCCCGCACUCGCCCGACCUCCAACGACGCUACUACGAUGAACGCACGCUCGAACGGCUCAUCGGCGCACGUCGACGUUGAUCCGAGCUCCAACCGCGACCACCACCUCGAGCGCGAUCAAAAACCAGAGGGAGAGAGAGAACAGCAAGCCAAAAACCCUUCUUCACGCUCUCUGCAAGUAUAAGAAGGCUGAGCAGGCAUUGGUUUGAACGAUACAUCAAAAGACCAAAAGGUCCCUCACCUACCCUGGAGUACCGGUGUUAGAAAUUAACCGGCACAUCAGAAAAACGCAGCGGAAAAUAAUUUUGCACUUUUAAAAUUUUUCGGAAGCUAAAUACAUAUCACAUAUGAAAACCGAAAACCAAUAAAUCAAAUCAUUGCCGGCGGAUCAUUCUCAUGUUACUAUGCAAAAAUUUAAUCUAAACAAAAACUCUUUAUGUUUAGAUAUCUUACCGUGGACCAGUUAAGGUCUCUUGAUCUACUGUACGGUUGAAACUGAAUAUGACGAACAGAGAUUCCGAUUGGCCGCGCACAUGCCCGGCCUCUACGCGUAUCCACACGGAAUUGAUCCAGAUCCAACGCCUUCCGUCGCACGGAAUAGAUGAGUCGCAGAUUACAAAGACAGUGCUAGCAGUCUUCUCUUAUCCACGUUCCCUUUUAGUAAAAUAUUUGACGAAAGGUUGAGAGAGAAUAAUGUGAAUCUCUUCACAUUAAUUUUCAUGUGUUGCCUACUAAUGAAACCGCGUCUUUUUAUGUACAGCUCCAAUUAAUUGAGCCGUACGGAUCGGCACUCCUCAACAUUCUGUUGUAACUAAUUGGAUCAUAUCCAAUUAGUUGCAUACAUUCUGUUGUAAUUAAUUUGGAUCAUAUCCAAUUAGUUGCGAUAUAGGAUAAGUAAAAGUAAAUUUAUGCUCAUCCUUUAUGGAUAUUUUAUCAUUAUCUCUCUCUUUAAUUUAAUUAGAUCUUAUCUAUUAAAUUAUAAUUAAAUAUUCAUAUUUAAAUCUAAUCUAAUUAGAAUAUUAUCUCAUAAUAAUCUAUGAAUAUUUAAUUAUUUUCUAAUCUAAUUAGAGAUUAAACCUUUCGUAACAUUCAAAUUCAAAUUACUAUUUCCACUAAACUGUUUAGUGUAUUAUACUCAUAUUGUCAUGCAUGUUGGAUGCAUACAAUUACUAUUGUGUAUGACCGCAUAGGUUCAUUGUCAUUCGGCAGUGAGGUCCAAUAUCAAACCCUUCAAUAUUGAAUUAGAACUCUUUUAAUCUGUAAAAUAAUUUAUUUAAAUUAUUUUUUACUUCUCUCACUGUCCGCGAGUGACACCUAGCAGUAUAUCACGGCAAUCCAGAACGAUGAUGAAAAACGAACCUUUCCGCUAACCGUUACCGUGUGAUUAAUUCCUUCCAACACACAACGCCCCGAUCGAACUAAGAUUAUGGUUACUCGCCAAAUCUUAUUAUUCGAUCAUAUGAUUAGAAUAUCUAAAAUCAACUCAAUAUGGUAACACAGUUAGAAACUCUUUCCACAUACCAUGUACCCUGGCCAGGGGUUUUCCGAGUCGAGUCCGAUAAACUACAUAGGACAUUCUCCCUCAUCAUUGAGAGUGUUGGAUUCCUUAUUGUGCAUUCACAUACCUCAUCGCAUAAAUCACUAUAGUCAAUCAGUACCGAACAUAGACCCGUGUCUAGAGUCUAAGUAUUAGUACUGUCAAACGGUAGCAAUCUAUACGUGAAGCAGUACUGUCAAACGGUAGCAAUCUAUACGUGAAGCAACUAUGAUGCCUUAGGUCCGAGGAAUACUUCACACAACUGUAGCAAUGAACUUAUCACUGGCCAGCAUAGAACCAUAUGACUGUUCAACUAAAUAGUCACGCUCAGUGUACUUGUUCUCUAACAAGCACCUGUAUGCUUGUUCUAGUGUCCCUACACUAGUGACUUGAGAUUCGUCACCUCAAUUAGAAACAUAGCAUACACCGGCCUAUCCGGAAUAUCACCGUCCCUGUAAUAUUCCUCUGGCUAGGAGCAUUUAAAGAGUCUGGUACAGAGAAGUACAUAUCUCAAAUUCCUAACUCUUAAGAAUAUGUUUUUUCAAACAAAGACCCUAUGGACGAUUCAUGUCAAUGUUGUACUGCUAUAUAAUAGAUACGAAUAGAUUAUCUGCCCUUAUAUUAUGAAUUAUAAAUGAUUAAUACAUAAAUACCCUUAAACUAGUGUCACCAGAUUGGCUUUUGGGCAUAUAACUAACAACCGGUACCAGGCCGAUGCCGUAUCGGUACUCCACAUCAGAAGUUGCAACCCGAGAGCAGUAGUGCGCAGAAUAUGCUGGAGUACCGGUAUGCCCCUGUGUGGUACCGGUAUGCAAUGCUGAAAACCUGCAAUUUGCAGAUUUCAAAUGCUAAAAUCCUGCUCUCACGUCGCAACGAGUUCGUUUUGCGUCUCUUUCGCGCUAAAACGACUCGGACUUGUCCCGACACUCUCCAGAUGUGUCGACAAGCCUCAGAUGCCGAAAUCUCACGGCUGCAGAAAGCCAACAUAUUUAUAUGUGUAUACUAGUAUAUAUUACUAUCCGAAUACUAUUCGAAUACGUAGAAAUAUUCGAUCCUAUUCGAAUCCACUAUUAGCAUAUAUGGAAAUUAAAAGUUAGCAUUAAACAUAUAUUCGCACUCGAAUUCUCUUUGGAAAAAAGAUAUGGAUGUGAAUAUGAUUUCGUCAAAUAUCUAACCGUAUUCGACCGUUUUCAUUCCUAUGCGCAUGACAUUUAGUUCUAAAACUUUAAUUUAUUGUAGUAACUAAAUCGAACUUUAUAAAUUAUCAUAGCUAAUUUUUACAACUCAAAUUAUUCGACUAAACAUUGAUGUCGCUUAUAUAGAAAUGAUGUGAUAGUAUUGUGAAGAUGUCACAUCACUUUUUACAUCAGUAAUUACGUAAACAUUUAGUCAACGUCUAAAUUGGAUUAUGAGAUUCCAUGCAUUGCAAUAAUUUAGAAAUUUCGAGCCAAAUCUAUUUCUCUACAUUAAAGGAGAGUUUGGGGGGACCUUGCACUACAACAGAAUUAGGUUAUAGCGACAUAUCUUUGGGAUACUUUUGUCUAAGUGUUCCAUUUAUGCAAAAAUUUUAAAAAACAUCUACUAAUGUUUAAAUAUAAAGCCGAAUCCAACAAAAAAUAAAAGGUUACUCUACUCAACCCACCCAACCCAGCCCAUUUAGCCCGAUUAUAAACAGAAAAGAAAAAACAAAGAAAAAUAAAUUACCAUCUCCCCUUCUCCUCUUACUUAUUCCACUGAAAUCCUAAACGAAGGGCCCUUCCCUCUCGUCCUCCUCCGCCACCGCAGCCAACAAGGUAGAGUUCCGGCGGUUGCUAGAUGCUUAAAUAAGUGUUGCUAAAUUAGCAACACUCUUUUUAGAUUAUAGCGACACUCUUUAACUGUCACUAUAUACCUAGCGACCCUACAUAUAGCAACACUUUUGAAAAGUGUCGGUAAUUUAGCCAGCAGCACUUUUUUUGACCUGUACCGACAUUUAACAGUGUCGCUAUAGACCGUUUUUGUUGUAGUGUUGGGGUGACACGUCUCCCCCCAAACCCCCUCUCUCUCUCUCUCUCUCUCUCUCUCUCUCUCUCUCUCUAUAUAUAUAUAUAUAUCAAAAUUUAAAAUUUUGAUACUUUCAAAUUUUAAAAUUUUAAAUUUUAAAUUUAAUUUAUAAUAUUUAUUUUCAAAUUUUAAACUUCAAAAUUUAAAAUUUUAAAUCUCUAAACUCUAUGAAAUUAAUUAAUUAAAUUUAUUAAUAACUCAUUGUAUAUAAUAUAAUUAAUUAAUAUUAUUAAUAAUACACGUAAUAAAUUUUAGAAAUAUAGUGCGCGUGUGCAUAUAUAUAAAAUUAAUUUUAUUAAACAAAUUCUUCUAUUAUUUUAUUUCCCUUCUAUUUAUUAUUUUUUAAAAUUAUUUUGAUAUAUUUAUCUCAAAUCUUUUUUCACAUAAAUCUUUAUAAAAUAAGUUCACUACAAAAAAAAAUUAAUAUAAAGACGCUUUUUAGACGACUCUUAGGGGAAGCGUCUCCAAGCAUUUUUACAAUAUAGAAAAUACCAACGCUUCAAAAAACGUCGUCAUAUGAUAUCAAACAAUUUAUUAAAUGAUGAUAAAUUUUACAACUAUUUUUAAUUUUCCGACGCUUAAAGCGUCGGGAUUUUAAAAAUUCUGACACUUUAAAGCAUCAGAAUAUAUUUUACUGACGCUUAGUAUAAGCGUUGAUAUAUGCACGGCGACUCUUCAUUUGCCGACACUUUGACCGACGCUUUCAAAAAUGACGUUGGAAUAUAUUGGGACGCUUUUAAGCAUUGUAAAAUAUAAAAAAGAGCAUCCUUAAAUGUAACAUUUUUUGUAGUGGUUGUCGUUUCAAUAAAUUUUAUUUAAAUAAAAUUAACUAUUAAAUUAUUUUUAUAUAACUUUUAUUUAAUUAAUAAUUAGACUUAUAAAAUUAUUUUAAAAUAUAAAAAACUAAAAUUUAUUAAAAAAAAAAUUUAUAUCCAGCAUCGCGCGGGUAUUUCACUAGUAUUAUAAUAAAGUAAAGUUUGAGAACCAUAAUGUUAUAGAAUUCAUAGUCCGAGGACCAAAAGUGUAAUUUAGCUUCAUUAACUAAGAUGUUCUACCAAGUCCUUAAUUAGUGAUUCAACAACACAAUCUUUCCCCUCCUCACGCGAAUAAUUACUAGCUGUACUUGUUUUCAACGAUUUUAAAGCAUGCAUGUUAUUUUUUAAUUAUUGAACAAUUAAUGAUGCAUGGAUGUAACCAUUCCCCACAGUAGAGAAGACACUAAUGCAAGGAAAAUUUCUUAUUUUAUAUAUAUUUUUUGGGUGGAAUUCUAUAGAGGUGAACUAAAAUUGGGUCCAUUUUGGAAAUGCCUAUUCAAAUUUUGAAAAUUUUAAUUUUACUUUCUGAGCUUUCAAAUAGGUUGAUUUGUGUUCUUAAAAAUAAUUACGUGUCCGGUGCAUCCAAAUAUCUGUACAUCAUAUUUUAUUUUUUUUAACGAAAAAAAAAUGCACAACUUAAUUAUUGAAUGGCAGAGAAAAUAAAUGACAAAUAAAAGUGCCGUGUGCGCAUGUGUGCAAAUCCAUCACCUUCAUGCAAUAGUUUUUCAGCACUAUAUAGUACUAUAAUUAAACAAAAUAAAAUGCUAGAUAGUAAAAUCAAAAUUUUUAAAUAUCUGGUAGUUAUUUCUAAAUGAUCUAAAGUUGAAGUUACUUUGCAUGCAUUUUUUACCUUUCUGUUUUUUUUUUUUGCCAAUUUGUUAUUAAUAUUUUUUUUGCGGUCCUAUUUUUCUCAAUUUUGGUACCAAUAUAUGUAUGGGUCUAAGUCUCAAUAUUGAUAUAUUUUACAAGACAAAAAUGAAGAAUUAUUCUGCAAGCACGGAAGACUAACGGUGGAAACUCGAUAGCACUAAGGAUUUAGUGCUAUCGAUAGUAUCCACUACAACAAAUAGAGCUUCUUCCGACAGUUUUUUUACCAGCAAUUAGGCUAACUGCCGCUAAAAGUAUAUUAUACCAGCGCUUUUUAUUUUUAUUGCAGCAGUUACUAAACCGCUGGUAUAUAUGAUGAUAAUUCUCAAAUUUAUAAAUAAUAUUGGACCCUAUAUUUUAUUAACUUUUUCCAUCAAUUGGGCCAUGGGCCAACCUUGGGCAAUAAACACUUUCCACAUUAGCUCUCCUUAUAUUUCAAAUAACCUCUCUCUCUCUCUCUAUCUCUCUCUCUCUCUCUCUCUCUCUCUCUCUCUCCAUCUCCACGCACCGUGAGCUUCGAGCUCGAUCGAUCUCCAUCUCUCUCUCUCUCUCUCUCUCUCUCUCUCUCUCUCCAUCAUCUAUCCGAUCAGAUCCGAUCCAAACCCUAAUCUCCACCCCCUCUAAUCCCUCCGAUCUGAUCGAAUCCAAGCCCUAAUUCUCAGAUCCCAUCCAUGGCGUCCCUCUCCUCCCCUCUGCCGCUCCCCUCCGCGGCGGCGGCGCUCCGCCGCGCUCGCCGCCCCGCCCCGAUCGCCGCGGCGAAUCCGUUGCAGUCGCCGUAGCCCUCGCCAGAGCCGAGGAGGCGAUCUCCGUAGUGGGCGCCGCUGUUUCAGCCGAUCGUCGGCGACGUGGCCGGAGGAGGCGGCGGUGCUGCGGCGGCGGCGGAGGAGGUGGCGGCGGAGAGGGAGAGGGAGAGGUUGACGGCGGAGAAGGCGAGGGUUCUGAGGGUUCUGAGGAGGGAGACGAGGGCGACGGAGGGGUGGCACGACGCCAUGUAUCACUCCACCAUCGCCUCACCCGACGAUCUCGAGGUUUAAAACGACGAUCCUGAAUAUACUCGGUAUGCCCUAUAUAUGUAACCCACCGCCCUUGUUUUCAUGUUUCUAAUGUAGAAGAAACCUGUGUAUGAUAUAUAUAUAUAUAUAUAUAUAUAUAUAUAUAUAUAUAUAUACUGGUGAAAUUUGUUAGAUAGACGUUCGGUUCUAUAUUUCUAUGCCCUUUUUGAUGUCCUGUAAAAAAAAGAAAAAAAGUUGAAGGGGUGAGGGCUUGUUGGGGAUAAUAGGAGAAAUGGCCUAGAGAAUAAAAGGCAACGACAAUGGUUUCAUCUCCCACAUACAAUUUUGAAUUAUAUAUAAUAAGGUAAAGAGAUCAUACAAGCUUUAGUGUCACACUUCACGAGUUCUGUUUCUAAUGCUGCUUUUUUAUAUAUAUAUAUAUUUUAGGGGAUAAAAAAAAAAUUUUCUAUGCAUAAGAAAGCCAGAUGGGUUCAAAGAGGGAGGGAAGGAAAUAGUCUUUUUCUAUGCAUAAAAAAUCUCUUCUGAUUCUAGCCUCCUUUCUAGUCCUUUUAAGCAGCUGCACUGUUGUUAUAAUAGUACUCACUGCUUGAGCUUCUUUCUCCAGACUUCUGUUAUAAUAAUUCAUGUUGUAGAUACAUAUUUAGACAUAGCUAAGCUAAUUAGGUGCACUUUUUUUUCUUUUUCUUUUUUUUUCGCUUGCUUCUGUUUCUAACUUCUGAAACUUUACUAAUAGCUACGAGAAAAUUUUGCUGCUAUGUUUGUGAUUCUAAGCGUCUUUGUUAACCCAUGUGUGAGUAUCAGACUCUCUUCUUUUCUGCUUCCUCUGUUGAGUUAUAUGGAGUGAAAAGAAUAAAGUUUUUAACACUUUCUUCAGAUAAGAAGCAUUGUGUCCAAGAAGGUUGGAUCAACUGAGCAGGUAAUGCAUUCAAAAUUGGCGCUAUGCUUUCUUAUCAUAGAUCUGCUGCUGAAAAUGUUCGAUAAUUGUGGACUAGACAAAAUGACGUACAAAUUUGUAACAUUGUUAGCUAAGUUUCUAUAUUCUAGAAUUGGUUGCACAAUUAGGGUUAAAUGAAUUAGGCUUUCUUUAAUUUUCCUUUUGUGCGUACUCAAAAAGUUGUUAGAACUAGUGUAAAAUCUCCACUUAUUGCAUGCAUCUAUUAAGCUUUCUUACCAAAUCUGAAAAUAAAGAUGCUUCACUUCUAUACAUAUAAUGUUACUUCUUUCUAACUGCAACACACUUUUAUUAGGGAAUGGCCCAAGGGUGUAUAACUGGUAUAAGUUCAUUUGCCAGCAUUAUUGCCCCUCUUGUCUUUACUCCUCUAACAGGUAGAUACUGGUUAUGCUACAACAGUGUAAUGAUCUUUGAAUUUACAAAAUGCAUACAAGCCUCUGUUGCACCCUCUCCAUGCAUGUUCGAUAUAUCAUGAUGAGAAAUUUAAGGAAUUUUGUUAUAUGUUAUGUAUAAUAUGUCAUUGUUUCGUGGAAACUAAAUAACAUGUUUUGCAAUUUUGCACCUUGUAAACUCACCGAAAUUAAAAUUUGAUCUGAUAAAUUAAUCAGUAUCUUCUUGAUAAGAAAACUUCAUAUUCUAAUUGAGUCCCACUAUGGAUCUAAAUCAUUUAAGAUCCAUACGAAGUAUCACCCAUUUUCCUUGAUUUGAAUCAAAUAAUUCUAAUUAAAGCUCUACUACAUGUGGUUACACCUCAAAAUUUUAGUUGUUCUUAAUUCUCUUGUUCUAGUGAAAAAUUUUAGUUCUAUAAUUAACAAAUUUCCUUUAGUUCUAUAAUUAACAAAUUUUCUCUAGUCCAAGAUUUUCGAGAUUUUUAUGAUACUUUUAUUUGGAGAAUAUUGAUGACACAUGAAAGGGAUUGAAUCCAUGAUCCCCUCAUAGAGGAGAGAGAGUUGGUAGUACCAGCCACUUGGUUAAGCCUUGGUCAAGGAUUGAAAUAUUCUGUUUGAGAUCUUGUUUAGUGAAAGUACAUACUCUGCCAAUUAAUUAACCUCUUUCAAUUGUACAUUUCUAGCUACAAUUUUCUUAUAUUUCUUCUAUUCCUCUUUGUUUCGGUUUCCGUAGCUUUUAUGUUAUAGGAGAUCCUCUAUUGUCUCAUUUUACGCUUCUUGCACAACUUAAUACAUUCCAAUCUUGCAUGCACAAGCUAUAUAUAUUGCUCCUAAACUUGGCUUUUUAUGAUCUUCUGCCACAUGCAAUAUUCUUCCAAUUCUGAACUUCUUGUUAACAUAUCAAAUCAAGGAUUUCACUUGUGCUAUAUGUGCUCAAUCCCUUAAAAUUCAUGAAUAGCAGGAACCAUCACUGUGUUCAUUAAUGGGAUUGCUUCGGAAGUUCCGAGGGGUCCUAUAGACUAACUGUCUUAUUUGAAUGUGGGAAAUUGAAUUGUUGUUUUACAAUUGUUUGCAGCUAUCAAAGAUCAGUUUUUGAUAAUCAGAAUCAUAGCUCGAUUGUGUCUACAAGGCAUUAUAGGGCAUGUAAAAUCCGGGCUGUUGCUACUUGAGUGCGCAUGAGCGUGAGAGUGGAAUUGAGGUGAAUCCGUUUUGGCGCAAAAUUGAUGCGAAAACGGAUGUUUUGGGCUACUAAUCUUGCAAUUGACAAUUGCAUUGGGUUAAGUUGCAAGAUGGCCUUCUUAGUGGAUUUCCACUAACAGAGAGAAAGAGAAGAGAUUUUUUCUAUUCUCUUCUUAUCCUCUUUCUCUCUCUCCCUCUCUCUCAGAUUUCAUCAAAAAAAGAGAGCAAGUAAAAGAAAAAGAGAGAAUAAGAAGAAGAAGGAGAAGAAGAAGAACUUGGAAAUGAGGGUGAAUUCUCUUAUUUCUCCUUUCCUUCCCUUUCUUUUCCUUCUUCCCUCUUUUCUACUCUUCUCCUUUCUCUUCCCUUCUCUUCCUUCCUUCUCUAUUCCCCUCCCCUGCUGCUGCUACUGCAGGAAAUUCCUGCAGCAGGCAGCAGCAGCAGCAUGCAGCUUGCAACAGCAGCACCUGCUGCAGGGACAGCAGAUUAUAAAAAAAAAGAAGGGAAAAGAGAAAUAGAGGGAAAAGAGAAGAAAAGAAAAGAGAGUAAAACAAGAGAGAGUGAAAGGGAAUGAUUGAAGUGGAAAGGAUUGGAAUAAUUAGCCAAAUUCGCGAUUCUGAUGUCAAAUUGACACUUACAGGGUGUUCCGGAGUGUACAUUUAAGUGCCCCACACAUCUCGUUAGUCGCAAUUUAAGUUAAUUAACUUUCAAUUUGUGUAAAUUGAGUCUGGAUUGAAAAUUAGCCUUUUGAUUGCAUUUCCGGAUGUUUUGACUUGUUUAGUGAUUCCGGGAAAAGACUCAGCUUUGUCGGAGAGCUUUGUGGUGGCAAUGCAUUAAGGAGCACAAUUGUUGUGGGAAAUGAGAUGAAACGGCAAAGAGCCCACAAUACAAUGUUUCAUGUGCCCUGGAGAUGUGAACGGGUAUUUACUAAACUUGUUUUUGCCUAAACUUCAGCAGUUAGAUAGUCGUUGUAAAUAGUUAUAAUUCAAUGUGGCACUUUUAACUAUUUGUGAUUUGGGUUAUCUAGUGCAUGUUUCUUGCUAAACAAGAUUUUUUUCAGCUUGGUCUGUCAUAUGUAGAGAUCAUCUUAAUUUGUAAAUUCCUUAUUACACUGUGAUGCUAAUCAGGUAUUUGUAUUUUGGUCUGCGGAGUAGAGGUGAUACAACUCACUAUGAUGCUGUUGCGAAUUCAGCAGCAUCUGGAGUACUCUCUGCUGGAUUAGCUUCAGGUUUGCUACUACUGACUUUCAAACCAUUUCACCAUACAUGUUAAAAUGAUAUUAUUGGGAUAUAAGAUUGCUUGUAAACUCCUUAUUGACGGAAUGUAUAGUAAACACUAUCUUUUCUUCCUCAGACUGAAGUUGUUGAAGUUUAAUACUAGUAAAUUUCGCCAUAUAUUAAAAUGCAGAUCAGCUGUAUGAGUACCCUAAUGGUUGAUUAAUGCUGAAGCUGGCACUAGCAUGACUAAGGCCUCUUGUAGGGGGCUACAGGGCAUUUUAGUAAUUUCAUGUCCAUUUUGGGACUAUAUCCUCCAAUACCAUAAUAACAUUGUUGAGUUUAUUUGGGGAAGUUUCAUAAGGUACCCAUGAUCAGUAGCAUGCUAUUUUAGCAUGGAGGUGGAAGUGGAUAACUAGUUUUAGCUCUACCCCAAGCUAAGUGCUUUAUGAUAAACCGCUGGUUAUGUCCACAAUAAACAUAUUGCUCUGAUUUAUGUUUACAUUGCCUACCACCAAUUAUACAUGCAUCUUUGAUCAAAUAAUUAUGCACAAUAUGCAUUGAAUUAAUUCAUAUGACAGUUAAACUAACAGUCUAAGAUCUAGUUAUUGUCUUUCUAUACUUGGCAACUAAAGCAAUUUGAUAAAAAUAUAAGAGUAUUCCACCUUGAUCCAUAUGACUUAGCCCAGUAUACAGUACUCUUAUAUUUAGAAAACACAAAGUUCUUAGAUACCUACUUGUCAUUACAUUUAAUAUCAUGCAUUUGCCCACAUAUAUUAUUUUUACACUCACAUAUGAUCUCUUCAUGAUUUAUCUCUCUUUCCUUUUGGAUCGAGGUUCCUAUGCAUCUCUAAUAUAUAUGAACUUGCUAACUACAGGAUAGUAAAACUAUUUGUAUUAGCUACGUUGCAGUAUUUAAAAAGGUCUUUUUUCUAUGCCCUGAGAAAUGGUGGUUGGCUUAGGUCUUAAUCAUCUUGGUAGUGGCUGCAUUCCUUCUUUUGACUGUUGAUGGCCCACAUGAAAAGGUAUUUAUCUUUUUCUCAUUUAUUAACUAGAAUCACUCUUAGUUUAAGAAAUACCAUUUAAUUUUUGAAUCUUGUCUAAACCUCUAUGUUGAUCUUGUGUUUAGAUAUAAUCUUCUGAAUUCACUUUUAAUAUAAUGACUUGAUUUUGUCAUAAACGUAUAAUUGAAGAGUACAUUUUAUACUUUUAAUGCAGCAUGCUAGGGAUGAACUUCUAUUCCAUGUUACUAAAUACUUCUCUUUUGCCCUUUUAUUCUUCUAAUUUCUAAAUGAAUGAUACUUUUUUUUUUUUCCAUGCGAUGCAUGCAGCAUGUCCAAGAGCUUCUUAAUUAUGCCAGAUAUGGAUUGUGGUGGGUAUCUCUAGGAGUGGCAUCAUCAAUUGGACUAGGCAAGUGCAAAAAUUGCAUUCUACUUUAAUGAAAUAUUGGAUUGGAUCGUUUAAAGUUUAAAGUACAUAAUUUCCUUAUGUCCACAUAGUUUGCUUAUGUAGUUUUACAUAUUUUUAUGAUAGUACUCCACAAGCCAAAAGAAUUUUGCUAAUAAAUUCCUACUGCUCAAUUUGGUUCAUUCUAAGGUUUCUUGGCAUUCAUUUUGGGCCCUUAUCGUCUAGCUUUUCUAGUUUCCUUGGGGUGGUGGCCAGCCACUGCAAAAGCAGUCAUUUUGGGGCUGGUUUUCAUGCUGCAGUGGAUUCCUCAUCACAAAAAACAGCGGUUUGCAAUAGAAUUUAAGUUGGAUGUUGUGGCGACUCUUAUCAGAAUUUAUCGCUGGCCAAAUUUGACCUUUUUCUUGGAUAUGUUAUUGAAGUCGACCAGAAAUCAGAUAGAUAUCAAAUUUGUGAUUUAUACCGCUGAGUUAACAUUGUCUUCUGCCUUCUUUUCUGGUCUAUUAAAAACCAAACUUUUAUAAUAUUGUGUGUAUAAUAUUGCAUUGAUGGAGGUUUCUAACCGCAUAGUGUUCAUAAAUUGAAUGCACUGAUUUUAGAAAUUUUAGGGAAAAUUUGAAAAAAAACUAUUACGUUGGUCUUUACUAUAUGGUACUUGUGAUAAAUUUUCUAUUGGAAUGAGCUUCUGCAGCUUAUAUGUUUCAAUUUUUCUUAUUCCAGAUUGAAGCAACAAGCGGGAUUUGAUACUCGCAUUUCAAGGAUGUGUAGCAACUGUUUCUUUUUCAGCAACUGUUUCUUUUUCUUAUCUUUCUAACAUUUGGAAUUCAAAUAUAUUUUCUAUUGCGUUGAUUCUAUUAGAACAUAAAAAAUUUUUUGUUGCAUUUUGUCAUUGUUAUAGAUCAUGAUUGUACCAUUUGAUAGUUUUGUUAUAAAUAUUUUUACUGUUUUGUUAUAGAUUUCUCUAUUACAAUUUAAUAAUGUGACUCUCAUAUGUGACUCAUUUUUUUCGGAUAUUAUAGAUUUAUUGGUUUUACAAUUAAUAUCAAAUGAAAAGGAUCUAUUGUAAUUUGUUGAUAUUAGUAUCUUUUUUUCAUUUUAGUCUUAAAUUGCCAACGGUCAAAAACUGUCGGUAUAUAUACUUUGCGCCAGUAUUUUUUUAAUAGUUUUAGCGACAGUUUAAAAAAUGUUGCUAGAGAUUAUCUUCUCCAAUGGUCAAUAAAAGUGCUGGGAAAGGGUAAUACCAGCAAGGAUAUAGUAAUGGUCACUUACACUUUUACCAGCACUUUUAGAACUGCUGGAGCAAGUAUUACCAGCGGUUUUUGUAAUCUUUUCCAGCAGUUUUGGCAGCUGGUACAUACCUAUUUUUUUGUAGUGAUCCCAGCCAAACUCCUCUAUAUGAACUAGACUGGAAUACUAUCAAUAGCACCAAGCUAUUGGUGCUUUUAGCUUUUAGCCCUUGGAUUGAGAAAUGUACGGUUAGGAUGAUGUGGACACCCUAGGGUUGAGUGGACGGUUGGUUGAAUAGUAUAAUCUAACGGGUAAAAAUAAUCAAAAGAGUAAAUCUAACGGUGGAAAACUCGAUAACGUACACCAAGUCCUUGGUGCUAUCAAUAGUAUCCCAACCGAACUAUAUAUAUAUAUAUAUAUAUAUAUAUAUAUAUAUAUAUAUAUAUAUAUAUAAAAUUGAGUUAAUUCCUGUACUUUUAAAAGUACCAAAUUAUUGGUGCUUAUAAGUUUUUGGCCCUUCAAUUAAGGGAUGUGCGGUUAGAAUGAUGUGGGCCUCCUAGGGUUAAGUGGGUGGUUGGUUGAAUAGUAUAAUCUAACGAAUAAAAAUGAUCAAAGGCAUAGAUCUAACGGUAAAAAAUUUACAAGCACCAAGUGCUUGAUGCUUGUACAAGCACCAUAGCCGGACUAUAUAUAUAUAUAUAUAUAUAUAUAUAUAGAGAGAGAGAGAGAGAGAGAGAGAGAGAGAGAUAGGCUCUUACGCUUUUUUCCAAAACACGAAAGUCUCCGUGCUUAUAAGUUGUUUUCGAUAAUGGGACGUACGAUUCAACAAUCAAUUCCGUUAGGAUGGUCUACACUAUUAAAACUAUUUCGAAACCAAAUUUUAUAAUUUUUUAAUUUUGUUUGCUUAGCUAGUAAAAGAGUAGCAUCAAAAUGAACAGCUGAAAAUAAAAAUUUUAUAAAAAACUAAAGAUAAAAGCUCAAAUUUCAAAUCAAAAGUAUUAUUUUUUGCUCUUGAUGUUAAGCAGAAUUUUCUAUCAAAGUUUCAUGUAAUUUGAAUAUUUCUAACGUAGUUCAUAUUUAACGGAGCUGAUUGCCGAAUCGGAUGUCCCAUCAUCGAAAAUAAUUACAAGCACAGAGAUCCUCGUGUUUGUAAUCAUAAUCGAGAGUAUAGAUCUUGUUCUAAAUAGUUUAAAGAAUUUUCUAACCAAAAUUCAAUUGAUUUGGAUAGCUUUACACCAUUAAACGAGAAAACCCCUCAUAUCAACCGUUAAAAUUACUAAUUUUGAAACUCUUUGAUCAUUAGGUAAAUGAAGUCGAAAAGAUUUGAAAUUUAAUUUCUAAAUAGUUCAAGUGAUAUAAAUCAUGUUCAACGGUGUCGAUCGUCGAUUUGAAAGCUCCAUCAUCGAAAACAAACGGGUGGCAACGGAGCCCGUUUGCUACCGAUAGCAUUCCAGCUCAACUCUAUAUAUAUAUAUAUAUAUAUAUANUAUAUAUAUAUAUAUAUAUAUAUAUAUAUAUAUAUAUAUAUAUAAGUAGGCUAUUAAACUACUAAUAGCAUGCACCAAAUCAUUGGUGCUAUUAGAUUUUCGGCCCUUGGAUGAAGGGAUUUGCGAUUAGGAUGAUAGUGAUCCUCUCCAGUUGAGAGGGUGAUUGGUUGAACAGUAUGAUCUAAUAAUAGGUGGAAAUGAUUAAAAUGAUAGAUUUAACGGUAGAGAAUUUGGCAACACCAGGCACUUGGUGCUAUUGAUAGCAUAACAACCAGACUAGUAUCAAUAAUAUAUUCCUCUUGUAAAUAGUCAGUAAUAGUUGUACGUACCAACGCAUAAAAUAAUUCAAAUUUUAGAUUAAUUGAAAUUAUAUGGAUCUUUCAUAAACCAGUUUGCAUAUAAUUAGCACUUGCAAUUCAACUCGUUGUUCGAAAGCCAGCUCAUAUUCAGCUUGAAAUGAGCUCGAGGUUGGUAGUUUCACUUAAUAAACGAGCCAAAUAUGAGUUGAAUUUUUUUGCUUGGAAUCUUAACGAGCCAAACACGAGCUGGGGUAAGUUUGCUCAUGUUGGAUUUUAACCCAUCCAAAAUUUAAAGCAGCCUAUAUUUUGUGAAUUUCUAAAAUUAGAUUAGGAUUCCAAUUUUUUUUAUUUUUCUUUCAAUCUUUCACCCAGCAGAAGCACCGACAAUUUAAUUUAUUAUUUGUGAGCCUACUCGCAUUUAGCCCGUUAAUAAAUAAGCCGAAUACGAGUUAAAUUUUUCAGCUUAAUAUUUUAACAAGCCAGCUUGUGUUCGGCUCGUUUAAUAAAUGAGCGACACGAGUCCACUCCAUCUCGCUCGUGUACAGCUUAUUGACGGCCCUACGUGUAAUCUUGAUCCAUGAAUAUAAAAAUCCUUCUUAUCUCCAUAGUUGAUAUAUUUAUUUCAUAAAAAGGUCAAAUCUAUUAGUGUUUUUUUUAAUUUUCUAACUCCAUAAGGAGCUCUCCAUAAAAUUUUGGUAAAACAAAUUUAUUUUUUUUUUCCAUUAUUAGGUUCCCUUCAACUUAAUUUCCAUCCCUUUAUUUUUCUUUUAUCUUUGUCAAUUAAAUUAAAUAUUUUGUUAAAUCCAAAAAUAAUUCUAUCAAAUUUUACUCUUCACACCAGAUAUUGAACAGCGAAUUUGAAUAGUUAUGUAAGAUCAUUAAAACAAUAAAAAAUAAAACAAAUAUAAAUUAAAAUAAAAAAUAAUUGAGGGAUUUUUAUACAUUUUGACUAAAAUUUUUUGUCCUAAUUGUGCCCCAUUAAAAAUGUUGUUCUCCAACGGUAGGAAAAAUUCGAGAACACCAUGCACUGCAACUAACAAAUUAAUAUAUACGAACGAGUUAUAGCAUUAAUUAACAAAUAUACAAUAUCUUAUACAGCUCCAAUUGCAAGUACAAUAUUCAUUAAAUUCCUCUCUAACUAACCAAAUUAACCAUGGGUUAACUAAUCCUCAUUUUACGAGAUAAUUUCUUAAACUUAAAUUUUUAAAAAAAAAUCUUCAAAAACCAUCACAUUUCAUUAAGAUUAUUGAUUCUGGAGUCAUUCCAUACUAAAAAUAAAUCUUUUAGGUUGCAUGGCAUAAGCGCAUGAGAUUCUAAGUUUGAAUUGCACCAUUUCAUUUAAAUUUGCAUCACAGUUUCAAUAAAAAGUUUCAAGCUAAUACGUAAGUAAAAUUGUUGAACACAAAAAAAAAAUCAUUGUUCUUUAAUGGGUAAAUUACACUCUAUAUAUCAUGGAUUUUUUUAUAAAUUUCACAUAUCUAAUACACCAUGAACGCCCAUUCGAUGCAGAUUCAUACAUUUUUUUUAUUUUACUUUUUUUUUGUGUACAUAAUAUAAAACCAUAAGUAUUUUGGAUUUUUGAUCAAUGCAUAUAAUUUUCUUUCGAAUAGUAUAAAUAAAUUAUGUACGAUGGAGAAUUUUCUUUCUUAAAAUAUAUAAAUUAUCAAUGAGAAUUUAUUAAUUUCAUUCAUAUAAAAAAAAAAUUUCAGCAAAAUUAAUAUUUUAUAUAUAAUAAAUAUAUAUUAUUAUAUUAAUAGUAUUAUAUUUUAUUAGCGGUGUCGUAUCCUACAAUCCAAUUUAGUUGGCUAAAUAUCGACAAAUUGUUAAUGUAAAAGUAUUGUAAUUGACGAUACGCUAAUAAUUUGCCAAUAUUUAGACAACUAGAUUGAGUUGUGAAACUUUAUUAUAACAAUUCAGAAAGUUCUAGCCAGAUAUUACGACAAGCUUAUGUUUGAGGACCAAAGUGUCACGUUCCUCGUAGUUUGACGACCAAAAGAGUAAUUUUCUUUUUUUAAUAACUUUGUUUUUGGAGAAAAAUGGCUAUAUAUUCAAAGCUCAUUCUGUUCCAAAUAAAUUUGUUUGCAAUUUUUUACAUCUACUAUUAAGUGGCAUGACCUCGCAUGAUUCAUAUGAUCUUCUCCACUACGAGCGCGCAUGAUCAAUAUUUUUGAGUUGUUUACUGUCAAACCAAACAGACAUACUUUGCUACUCGAUCGCGUGCUUUUUUCUUUCAAGAAGUAGAUCUUGAAAUUAAAUAGCAAAUAUUCUACCUUGUAUUAGCGCAAUUAAAUAACACAAUAAUAAAAAUGCAACGUUUUUUUGAUUUUAUAGAAUAUUAAAGCGUUGCAUGCAGUUUGAAUCCAAAGUACAAAUAUAUAUCUAGCCAUGGGGCAACUGUUUACAAUUAAGUUUAUUUACUUAUCUAUCUAUUUAUUUAUUUACUCCCCUCCACCCGUUCCCAUGCACGUACGUACGUACGUACGUUACCACCACCACCACCUUUAAUUUCUCUCUCUAUAUAAAGUGCACAAGCUUUCCAAGUUGAGCAUAUCAAAUUAAAACACUUGGAGAAAGGGAGACAUAUAUAGAGACCUAGAGAGAGAGAGAGAGAGAGAGAGAGAUUUACGUAUAUAGAGAGAGAGAGACCUAGAGAGAGAGAGAAAUGGCUUCGAGAAACGGCAACAAUGUUUCCAGCGGAGGACCUAGCCGAGUAGUGUGUGUUACAGGAGCAGGAGGGUUCAUUGGAACAUGGCUUGUGAAAGAACUACUUCUCAGAGGCUACCAUGUUAAUGGAACUGUGAGAAAUCCAGGUCAAAUAUGUGACACAUAAAUAUAUAUUUAAUAGCUAGUAUCUUUUCUCUGCAUCUCUAUGCAUGUUAAUUUUUAAUUCUCGAUCGUUAAGUUUAUUCAUAGUCCUUAAUCCUUAUCAGAUCAAUCUUUGGAGUAAUAUAGUAUUGAUUCAUCUGAUAUUCACCUGCAUGUGAGCAGGGGAUGUUAAAACUAUUCAUACUAAGAGUAAUUAAUGUAAUGUUUCUAUAUAGCUUAAAAACUGUUAUUGCAUAGAGAAGUUGGCUGUUAUCUACAACAAUUAUCCUUAAGGUCAGAAAUUUGAAUCUCUGUGUCCAUAUUUUUCAAGAAAAAUAGAAUUUGAAUCUCCUGUUUCUUGGAAUUUGAUUCUCUGUGUGCAUGUUUCCAAUUUAGGUGUUCAUUUUAAGAAUAUAAUCAUGCUUACACAAUAUUCUUUUAGUUCUCGCUAGGUUGCUUCUCUUUAUCGACAUAUAGUUGUUGCGAAAUACUAAUUACUCUUAGUUCUACUGCAUGAAGAGAGCAACGCACAUCUCAAAGAGUUGGAAGGAGCAGCAGAAAGACUUACCCUCUACAAGGCGGAUAUUCGUGACCAUGAAAACAUUCGUAACGCCUUUCGUGGGUGCGAGGGAGUGUUCCAUGUUGCCGCGCCCGUUAUUGACGACAAGGUCACUCUUCAUAUAUACAUACGUACAUACAUAUAUAUUAUGCAUUAUAUUCGUAUUUGUAUAGAGUUAAACAAAAAUGCUUUCAGAAACAUCACGAUGUGCCGCUUCCUUAUGUGUGUGUGCAUAUAUAUAUAUAUAUAGAGAGAGAGAGAGAGAGAGAGUUUUGCUGCGCUACUAUGGAUUGUAAACGGCUCAGUUUACUAUCAAUUUAUUUUCGAUAAUAAAGCUUCUAAAUCGACGAUUGGCAUUAUUAAACAUAAUUUAGACCAUUUAAACUAUUUAGAAUCAAAUUUCAUUUUUUUUUCACAACUCUAACCAAAUGAUCAAAAUGUCACAAAAUUUAUAUAAUUUUAAUAGCUGUUAAUAGUGUGUUUGUUCAUUUAACAGUAUAAAAGAGUCCAAACUAGAUAAAUUUUUAUUAAAAAAAUUUUAAACUAUCUAAAAUAAGAUUUAGAUUCUAAAUUUUGAAUACAAAAUUUAUAUCAUCACUUUUUGAAAGAUAUUUAUUUUCAGUUGUUCAUUUUUUGUCCACUUAAUGGAUAAGAGAAUAAUUGAAAAAAUAUAACAUUAAAUUUUCAAAUAAUUUAAAUUUGUCUAGAUCAUAUUAAAUGGUGCAAAUUGUCAAUUGGAAUUUCUAUCAUCUAAAACAAAUCGAUAGUAAACCUAGCCGUUUAGUAUAUAUAUUUAUGUAUAUAGUUCGACUAUGGUGCUUCUGAAAGCUCCAUUCAUGUGGUGCUUUAAAUUUUUAACCCUUGGAUCAACCUAUUUGACCAUUUCUUAUCUUUGGAUUAAUGUUAUGUGAUGCCCCAUCGUCCCAGGGGAUCACCCAUUUUAUGACUACUCUAGUACUGGCACGCUUAACUCGCUUAACCUCUUAGACCUAGCCACCGUAUAAAAUACUAUAGCUGGAUUAAGAGUUUCAGUCCUAUUAUAUCUCAUAUAUAUACUAUCUGGGGUCUAAUAUUCUCCCCCUUUCAAGCCCCGAUGUCUUUGUCAAGCUCAGACUUACAAGUAUCAGGUGAUAUGAGACCCGUCUUGUUAAUCUUAACCAACCUUGUGGGAGAGUCGCGUUCUAUCCACAACAGUCAACAAUAUGAGAGCCUAAUUACUUCCCCACUGUAUAAUCCUGGCUCAAUCGAGAUUCAUCUCAUACUUGCGGCUGAUAAUUGUCUUUAAUACCAACUAUGGCGCCCCAACUUCCCAGGGGGUCACCCAUCCGAGGACUAGUUCAGUCCUGGCACACUUAGCUCUCUUAACUUUUUGAGCCUAACCAUUACCCAAAAUACUAUAGCUUGGUUAAGAGUUUUAGUCCUAUUAUACCUCAUAUAUAGGACUAUCUAGGGUCUCACAUAUUAUAUUCCUAGGAGGACCACUAAAUCCUAAGGGGACUUCUAUCAUUAUAACCCUACAACCCUUGAUCGAAGAGCCGAAGCAUCAAUUCCUUUAUGCUUUCAAAAGUAUAAUAACUUUAUAUAUAUAGAACUAGGCUCCUAUAUAUGCUUUCGAAAGUAUGGAGAUCUCCGUGCUUGUAAGUUGUUUUCGAUGAUGGGACAUCCGAUUCGGCAAUCGGUUUCGUUAAAUUUGAUUUACGCUAUUGGAACUAUCUAGAAACCAAAUUUCAUAAUUUUUGACUUUGUUUGUCUAGUGAACGAGUAGCCUCAAAAUGAACGGCCGAAAAUAAAAAUUUCAUAAAAAAUAGUGAUAAAGGACUCAAAUUUUAAAUCGGAAGUAUUGAUCUUGCUAUUAAUGUUAAGUAGAAUUUUCUAUUAAAUUUUAUGUAAUUUGGAUACUUCUACACCGUUGAACUUAAAAACAUGCCACAUCGGCCGUUAAAAUAGUUAUUUUUGAGACCUUUUGAUCGCUUGGUAAAUAAUGUCAAAAAAUUAUAAAAUUUGGUUUCUAAAUAGUUCCAAUAGGGUAGAUUAUACUUAACAGAGCCGAUCGUCGAAUCGGAUGUCCUAUCAUCAAAAACAACUUACAAGCACGGAAGUCUCCGUACUUUUGAAAGUAUAGGAGACGUACUCUCUCUCUCUCUCUCUCUCUCUCUCUCUCUCUCUAUAUAUAUAUAUAUAUAUAUAUAUAUAUAUAUAAUUAAGGUGGCGGGAUUGAUUUGAAAGUUUGAGUUCAAUAUAUAUUAGUGCAGGCUGUGGUGUCCUUAGCUAUUGAAGGCACCAGAAAUAUAAUCAACGCUGCAGCAGAUGUGGGUGCUCGUCGCGUCGUGCUCACAUCUUCGAUUGGAGCCAUCCACAUGAACCCUAAAAGGAGUCCCGACACCGUCGUGGAUGAAAACUGCUGGAGCGAUGUCGACUAUUGCGAGAAAACAAAGGUAUAUAACAUAUCCAAAAGCUUAAGUUAUUAGAGAACAGUAUUUUUAAUAUUUAUAUCCAGUACCCUACAUUUUUGUUUGAUCGAUCAUAUAUAACUGAUCUCCUGUAUGUUGUAUGUCUUGACAUCGGUUGGCGGCAGAACUAUUACAGCAUGAGUAAGACGAUAGAAGAGAUGGCAGCAAUAGUAGAGGCGAAGGCGAGGGGGAUAGAACUCGCGAUAGUGAUACCGGCAAUAACGACCGGCCCGAUGCUGCAACCGAGGUUGAAUUCGGGUUUGAUGCACAUUUUGCGCUACAUAGUUGGCGAGAAAACGAAUUUGCCAAAUGCGGUCACAGGAUAUGUGGACGUCAAAGAUGUUGCACAAGCUCACAUACUAGUCUACGAGAACCCGAAUGCGUCAGGCCGUUACUUUUGCGUCGAGAGGGUCAUCCACCGCGCCGAGCUCGUCGACAUGUUGGACGAGCUUCUUCCUGAGAAAAAUAUCAAAGCGAGGUAAAGAUAAAAUGUUUGAAUAAGAUGAGAACUAUAGUCUUAGUUGUUGAACUUGAUUAACAGUACAAGUUAGGUUAGAAAUAACCCCACACAAUUCCAACCUACCAUUAAUAGAAAUUUCUUACAUUGGAACAGGAGAGUAAUUGCCAUAAAAUAGUUAAUUAAGUGCAUCAUAUAGUUUAAGGAUACUAAAGGUUAUUUGAAGUUUUCUCUUUUAAUUGAUAGUCUCUGACACAAGUGGCAAAGGGUUUGAUUGAUAGUCAAUUGGUACUCGAGGUCUCAAGUUCGAAACCUAAUUUUUUUUUCCAUUUCCAGCUACGUUCAUUUCUUAAAUAAAAAAAAUGUACAAAGCAGGUAGUAUGCUACUUUUCUAUCACUAAAAAAAAGGAUUAAUUUGACCUUCGUGUUGGUCAUUUAUUAUUGGUUGAAAUAGGUUUAACUUUCUGCUCCCUAAUAAUAAGACUAGAAAACAAUAACUUAAGUUGGAUGAGCCUAAUAAAUUGAGCGUGGUUAUGGUCCACAUAGGCCGAACAACAAGAUGCCCAACAGUAGACCUAACAUCUAAGAGGGUUGAAUCAGGUCGAAACCCGUGAGAACUGUGAUUGAACCUUUAUAAGUGUGAUAGAUGCGCCAUUUCAAUCAGCAUGUGCUUUCGGGAUUGUCAAUCAGUGCUUAUGAUUCAUACUUCCACCUUUACAUAAAAUAUCUACCAGUUACAUUCAUAUAAUUGUUGAUUAAUUUGAUUGAUCAAUAGGUAUUCGCCCUUAAACGGUUAUUAUAGGGUUUACUUAAUUUUAACGGGGCUAUUAAUUUUCUCCUCGAUCAACGUAAUCUUCUAUCAAUGGAAUAUAAAUAUGAGAUACUUAGAAAUAUACUCUGAUUCCCUUAUUUGACUCUAGUAAUUAAUGUAUAGUACUGUUUGAUAAAGUGCUAAGUUAUUUUAAAAAAAGCAAGGAAUUAAGUCUCAUAACAUGUUAUAUUAUUGACUUAAUUAAUUACCAUGUGUGCUCCUUAGCACCAACUAAUAACAAUUACAAAUGUUUAGUUAGCAAUUCUCAUACAAUUAAUCAUUUACCAUUCUUUUGUUGAAACUGUUUCAGGAUAAAAAAUAACAUCAAAGAGAAGAUAAAGCCCUACAAAUUCUCAAAUCAAAGGCUUAAGGAUCUGGGACUCGAGUUCACUCCGCUGAAGAAAAGCUUAUACGAAACUGUGAAGAAGUUCGAAGAGAGGGGUUUUCUUUCCCUUCCUAAGGACAUGGAUUUUCAGAAGUUAAUUCGCGCAUCGCUGUAAAUUGCGCUACUAUAUAUGCAUGCUAAAGAAAUUGGUAUCUUCUUAUAAUAGCGAAAUAUGGAAUAAUUAAACAUGCAUGAAAUUUCCUCCUUAAUUCGAUAAUAAGCACUGCUCAUAAGUGUACUUCUCUUGUAGCACUAAUAAAGCAUUUUGGGAAAUAAAGUUUUGAGUAUGAAGGGUUUAUUUAUUUGAUCUCACGGCACAUAGAUGACAUUUUUCUUAAUUUCUCUAUGGAUGUUGUUUAAAUAAUGAGUGUUUAUUAACUAUUUGAGCUUAAUUGUUAACCCGACAUUUUGAAAAUAUUUUAGUUUAUUUGAUGUUAACAUCUACAUUUGUUUUCAUUUGAGUUCUUUUGAAUAAUUUAAAAUGAAGAUUUUAAUUAGCUAUUACUUGGAUAAUUUGACAAUGGAUGCUCUGAUUAAUUUGACAAGGUUAUUAUAGCCUAUUCGAUUGCCUUAUAUAAAAUAGAAAUAAAUUGAAAUUACCAAUUUCAAACUGGCACAUAGUUAAAGGGGCGUCCAUACAAUUUUACCUUAAAAAAGAAUUUAUUAAUUUAGGAAAAAAAAAAACAUAUGUAUUCCUCUAAAAGUUGAGACAUCAAGUACAUGUCUACUAGGGAUGUCAAUGGGUAUGGAUAUGUAAAAUUUUAUCCGAAUCCGAACCCGAAUGGAAUGGAUAUAUCCGAUGGAUAUGGAUAUGGAUUCGGAUAUGGAUAUCAAAAAUAGAAACCCGACGGAUAUGGGUUUAGAUAUUAAUUUUGAUUGUACCCGACCCGAACUCGAACCCGACCCGAAUCCAAAUUUAUUUUGUAUUAUAUAUAAUAUAUAUAUAAAAAUUUGAUGUUAUAUUUGAAUUUGUAUUUUAAAAAUUUAGAUUUAAUAUAAUAUAUUUUGAAAUAUUGAAAAAAAAAAUAAUUAUUUCGGGUUCAAAUUUUCGGGUUCGGGUUUCGGAUUUUUGAUCGGGUUCGGAUUUGGAUAUGGAUUUUUAAAAUCCGUCAGGUUCGGGUUCGGGUUCGGGUCUCGGGUUUGGAGUCGGUUUCGGGUUCGGGUUUUAAAAUCUGCCCCGAAUCCAACCCGUUGACAUCUCUAAUGUCUACAAAUCUAAAAAUCUAAAAUACACCACUCAUAUUAUUGAUAUAGUGUCCCCAACCAAUUAAAUUGUAUUCUUUGGAUACAUUCGUCUAAUCAUGAAUUCAUGAUUAAUAAAAAACUAUUUUCUUUAUAUUUUUCUCUUAAAAAAAUAUAAUUAAUUUGUUACUGAUGAUGUGGUGCAAAUAUGACAUAACAAAUAUUAACCUUGACUGGUUUGGGGAUAAUGCGGGAAUAACAAAAUUUCUUCUUGCUAUUCCGCCAAACAAAAUACUUUUAUCGGAAUAAUAUAUUCUGGUAAAAUAUUACUAUUUUCUGUUAUACCGGGAUAGUUUGGAAUAAAUUAUUUCAUGCUUUGGUGAAAUAGUGAUAUUUAAUUUAAAAAAUUAUAAAGAUUAUAAAUUGAAUUAUAACAUAUUAUGCAGACAUAAUACAUUACAUAUGAUUAUAAUAUAUUAUUAUUUAUAAAAAUUAUUAUUUGUACUAUAUUUAUGCAUAUCAUUUGUAUUUAAAUAUUAGACUAAAUUAUAGAAAAUCUUCCCGUAAAUAUUCGAUUUUUCACUUUUCCUCUGUGACUUUCAACAACCUAUAUUUCAUCUUCUUGAAAUUUCAAAAAUGUUUUAAGAGGGUACAACAUUAAUGGAUAGAAAAAAUAAUCUAAUUAUCCUUACUUACUAAAAAAUAAUUUUUUAUUAUAUAUCUGUCAAUUUGAAGAGUAUUUUUGGUAUAAAUUAUAAGAAAUAAACAGAAUAGUAAUAAAACGCAUUUCUAGUAUAAAUUAUAAGAAAUGGACAGAAUAAUAAUAAAACACUGACGGAAGAGGGCUAAAUACAACAACUUGAAAUAUUAAGAAGAUAAAAUAUAAAUUUUUAAAAAUUACAAAAAAAAAAUAAAAAAAUAUAAGUAUUUAUAAACAGGUUUUCUAUAAUGUAGCCUAAAUAUUAUAAUUAAAAAAAAACUUCAAAUACCAUCUCUGUGUUUUCGCACUUUUGCACUUUUCUGUGGUUUAAAGUGUAUCAAUUUAGUACCCUGUGAUUUCUAUUUUUUUUUAUUAUCAAUUCUACUAAUUUUUUUGUUAAAUGAGUGACAAAGUUAAAACCAAAGAGUACUAAAGUAAAUAUUCGAUAAACCUAAGUGUAGUAUCUGUAGUUUUUUCAUAUAUAUAAUUUAACAAAAUAUUAAUGAGAAUGAUAACAAAAAGAAAAAAAUUCACAGAAUAUAAAAAUAAUAUAUUUUAAAUUAUAAAAUAUUAAAAUAAAAAAAUGUAAAAUUNAACCCCCCCAAAAAAAAAAAAAAAAAAAAACUGUAACCGUGACAUAAGAAAGAGGAAAAAAGUAAGAGAAGCGGCUUGGCUUAUCCACACACUCCACACACAAAAGGGAGCGAGCUGCCGGAGCGAGGGAAAGAGAGAGAGAGAGGGAGAGGGAGCUGACAGCCCUGCGCGUGAGAAUCGAGAGAGAGAGAGGGAGAGGGAGCUGACAGCCCUGCGCGUGAGAAUCGGAUGAUGAUGGCUGUCGGCAGUGGGUACGGCCCCCCUUGCUGACUGCUGAGUUCCUUCGCCGCCCCCCCUCUCUCUCCACCGCAGCCUGCCUUCCUUCCUUCCUUCUCCGAUGGCUUUUCUUGCUCUCCUCCCUUCCGGCCCUCUCCCGCCGGCGCUCCCCGUCCGAAAGAGCUCCCACGCGCCGCCCGGAAUGAGCUUCCUUCGCCCCUCUCCGCCGUCCGACUUAACUCCUUCCACCUUCUUCAAUCCUGUGAGAAAAGACGAAUCAUUCUUCUUGUGCUACUGUUUUCGCUUUCCAACGUUUUAGUAAAAUAUGAAGCAAUCGUUAUUCUCUAAAAACUUCACAUAGGAAAGAACGGCGUGUCAUGUCUUAAAUGGGAGGAAAUUGAAUAAGGUUAGUGAUGCGGCCAAUUUAGUAUAUGGGUAUGUUUGGUUCACCUAUUUUAGACUAUGGAAUCAGAAUGGAAUUUAUUGAUUUCGAUAGUUGCCGUUUGUUUUAUAGAAAUCGGAUUCCAAUUUUCAUUCUACUCCGGAAUGGGAAUGAUCAAAUCCAUUUAUGAUCCAAUCCGGCUUUGAAUUCCGAAUUGGCUCAUUCUAAAGUAAACUAUUCAAAAUCCACUUUCAUCAACAUCUACCUCCUCUCCCUUCAUCACUUUUCUCCCUCUUAAUUAAAAUCCUCUCUCAAAAAUUUUAAAUUUUCAUUCCGAUUUCCAUUCCAAUAAUGAACCAAAUAUUUUUGGAUGAUUCGUCAUUCUAUUUUUCAUUCUAAAGCAAUGCAAUUCGAUUUCUCAUUUCUAUUCCGAUCAUGAACCAAACAUGUCUUUAGAGUUUUUCAGAAAAACGUGACUCAACCAAACCAAGCCAAAACUUCUAUUGAGUUCGGUCGCUUUUACUAUUGGCAUGAGAAAUCUUUAAAUGGCCAUAAUUUUUCUCUCCGGUAUCUAAUUUCAGCGUGCAACCUAAUUCGGAAAACACUUUUCGAGAUCUACGCGUCGAACCACGAAACCGUUCCAGCCAAGUAUGGGACCCAAAUACAAUUGUUUCGGCCUCCGUUUUGCAUUUUUAGGUUAAUUCGGAAAAUGUUCUUAAUUUUUUUCAUUUUGAGUCUGAUUAUUUGAUUAUUUCUAAUCUGAGUAAGUUUAGAGAUAUAUCAGAAUUUAUUAUCUUCAUCUAGUAGGAGUCCAAUAUCGCCUCUUUAUAUAACCGUGAUGCUCGGUUAAUGUAAUCGGAAAUUUUGAGAGUUGAUUAAUAUAUUUUCGUCUUUGUCGAAUAAUUUGUUCUUCAUAUAUCAUCUCUUUUCAUCCUUGAGCUUCUUCCCUCUCAACACCGAUUAUAGCUUGCAUCAAUUAGGAGCUUGAUGGGAUUCAAAUGCAGAAUCUGCUACUCUUUUACUCAUAUUAAGUAAUAUGGGAUAGUGUUUUAGUUUUAUACAUUCAACAAUAUAUACAUAUAGAGAGGGAGGGAGGGAGGGAGGGAGAGAGAGAGAGAGAGAGUCCGGCUGGUAUACUAUCGGUAGUUCGGAGGCUUUCGUGUUACCAAGUUGUUUUCAAUAAUGCAGCUUCCCAAUCAACGAUUGGCUCUGUUAAAUUUGAUCUUUACUAUUGAAAGUAUUUAGAAACUAAGUUUUAUAAUUUUUCGACAUCAUUUACCUAUCAAACAAGUAGUCUAAAAAUGAACGACUGAAAAUAAAAAUCUCAUAAAAAAUAAUGAUAAAAGACUUCAAUUUAAAAUCAGAGGUACUGAUUUUACUCUAAAUAGUGAAAAGAAUUUUCUAUAAAAACUUCAUCAGAUUUGGAUUGUUUUAAACUAUUAAAUUCACAAACGCAUCAUAUCAACCAUUAAAAUUGUAAAUUUUGAGACCUUUUGAUCAUUAGCCAAAUGAUGUCGAAAAAUUAUGAACUUUAGUUUUCAAAUACUUUCAAUAGUGUAGAUCAAGUCUAGCGGAGCCGAUCGUCGAUUUGGAAAUUGCAUCAUUGAAAACAACUUGGUAGCACGGAUAGUAUACCAGCCUAGUUUGAUAUAUAUAUAUAUAUAUAUAUAUGAUAGUUUAUUGAAUAAUGUUAUUCAAUUUAUAUAAUUCUAUAGCAUUAAUUAUCGCUAACUCCAUCUGUCCAUUUGUUUCUACAAACUUCUACAGUUUAAUCCAACGGAAUUCCCAAGUGUUCGGAUCUGUUUGAAAUGAUAGCAAACUACAGGGGCUAAGGGCCUAAAGUGCAAGGGGGUAUUUUAUAAUUUAGCCUAUAACUGUUGUUGAUACGUUUUUUAACAAAAUCUGCAGUUCCAUCAGGUGAGAGAAGAGUUCAGAGCAACUGAAUUUAACAUGAUCACUGCUAGCUAAACUUAAACAAAAUUUAUAAUUUAUAGUUAAGUAAUGUCAAUCCAAAAAAGAAAAUAAAAAAAUAGAUCAGUGGUCUAAUUUAAAAUGGACUGUGGUUGAGGGUGGGGUACCAAAGAGUUUUGCCUUCUAUCUUUGUUGAAAUUUAGGUCCUGUUUGAUUGUCAGAAUUAGGUCUCCAAGGAUAACUUGUUGAAAGUUUGAUUUUUUACUUCUUGAAAGGCUUUGCUAUUCAUGACUUGAUAGAAUAACAUAUUUCACCUACGAGAUGAUUUAUUUUAUUCUGAAAAAAUGACUUGAAGGUUUAAUAUGACAUUCCAUUCUAAACUUUGAUCACACUUCUCGUCAUCCAAAUGUAUAAUCUUCUUAAGUAAAUUAAGGUGAUAUACCGAACAAGAUAUUCAUGCAUCCAAACAGGGCCUUACUGUAAGAUUUUACAUAUAGAGAAGAUUAUAUAAUUAUUCUAACUUUUAUGAUGAUUGUUAUCCUGCAUGAUGGAAAUAUACGUUGCAUAGACUUAUAAUAUAUAUAUAUAUAUAUUCGGCCUAUUAGAUUUUAAUAGGGGAUUUAAUCCAUUAAACAUGAUAAGGAUUGAAUCCCUGACCUCAUGUGUGGUAGGGGUUUAGAAGUGGUUCUGAUAUCAUGUUAACCAAUGGAUCAUCUGAUAGGACGUGAUUCUAGAUUGUAAUUUGCAAUUACUUUUGUCUGCUAGAAUACCUAUCUCUUUUGAGCCAGUUUCCUUAAUAUUUUAUUGUAAUUCUAUGCAGAGGAAGCUGAAAUUUCUAGCACGUGCUGCGCAAGAUCUCAAUGCUCAACCACAUCUUAGUCUUGAAAUUGUAAAGGUAUGCAUGUAUGUAUCGUCGUAAAGGUACUUAUUUCUGCUUUUGAACGUGAAAAGUUUGAAGUAGGAAGUGAGGAAGAGUCAAAAGAUGUGUUUUUCUCUAAUGCAUCUGGACGAAAACGUGAAAAAUUAUCCAAUAAAAUGCGUCAAAAUAAUACAUUUAGAACUUUUCAAAGCUAAAUGUAACAGAAUCGUCACCUGCUUCCCUCGAAUGAUUAGGAAAUUUUGGUUUUCUCUAAUGCUUUAUACUGAUAUAUGCCUCGAUGUACUACAUCUGGAGCAGUGUUAGAAAUUCAUUAAUAUUAGUCUGUGGUGAUUGCAUGUUUAAGGGAUAAUUUGACGAAGAUAUACCAAAUGAUCAGUAAUAUAGUCUGUGGUCAUUGCAAGUUUAGAUAAUUACGUACUGGAGUUAACUGGAUUAAUCAUGUAGCUUUGUCAAGUUUGAUAGAUCACAUAAUCGCUUUAGCCUAAUUCCCUUCAGAUGGGGUAAGUCUUGUUUCUCCUGUUUGUGAGUAUUUUGCUGUAGCUUCAGUGACAUAAGAGUUUAUGAUGUUAUGGUCUAUCAACUCAUCAAUGUGAUGGGAGACAUCCUCUACGGAGAGGGAUAGCAAAAAUCUUUUGCCAUUUGUAUUUUGGUAACUUAUUCUUUGGUUAAAAGCCUAGAACGAGCAUCCUUGGAACAAAUCUAAAUCUGUAACUCGCAUUAUGUGUAUGCUAUCCUCCUACCAGGUUUCCACUUGUGUUGACUUUUCUUUCUUUAUUGUGGUUUGCUGAGACUCUUUCAUUGUAUGAAAUGUACUUUCGAAAUCACUUGAUGUGAGACAAAGUUAAAAACUUCGAUCUUCAUCACUAAUUGUUUUAAUUUGAUCUUCUGUUCUUCUUCGCUGAAAAGGCAGGUUAGUAGUACAGAAGUAGAGAUGAGAGGUUCGAUCUCAAAGUACCAUGACGGUACGGUCCAUCUUUCACAUGGUUAUAAGCUUUGUAUGGUUUACUUUCGAUUGAAGAUAUAUGUUUUUAACUUUUUCUCAUACUAUAUUUGCUUCUGGUGUGACAAACGUAGGAGUUUCUACUUGAUAAAUCCUGUCGAAUCUUAAUUAAUUUGGACAUAACAGCAUAUUUGCCUAUUACAUAAGGAAACUGAUUCAUCUUGACAGUGAGCAUAUCUCCUUGGAAAAUAUUGGGAAGGCAUCCAAAAUAAGGAUACUGAUUUUUUUUUGACACAGAGAUUGGUCCCUUUUUAUUUUCAACGAACAUCACUCAAGAAAUAAAUCUAUAAUCUUCCAUUAUUCCGUAUUUGCUUCUGUUGAAUUACUAAUUCCUUUGUUAUUUCAGGGUAUUUAUUAGUCAUCGGAUAAUUUUUUUUUUAAAAAAGUUCAUUGUUAUCCUGCUGUUUUCCGAUUUUACAUUUAUUUAUAGAAUUAUUUGUUUAUAAAGAAAAGUUAGAAUCCUCUGAUACGUAUGUCCUUUCUUUGAGAAUAUUGAAUCAUUUUCUGCAAUGAUUAUGUACUCUGUUUAAAUCUGAAUAAUGUUUGAUUAAAUUAUUCUAACUUUCUACUUGAAACCAUUAUGCCAAUCUUGACAUAUGUUCUUUCAUUCUAUCAGAAGCUCUCAAGGACCUAUCUUUUAACGACGAGACGGAGAGUCACAGCAGUUUGUCACUGCGAUUUUCUGCUUUUCCAUGUGGCGUGAUGUCAUGGCUGGGUUUCACACAACUAGCGCAAUCAAGCGAAGGAGUGAAGAUAGACAUGGUUUAUGAGAUUGGGGAGUUGUUUGAGCUGGGAAUACAGCUGUCUUAUUUGCUCAUAUUAUUAGGUCUUCUUGGAGCUGGAACCUUCUUUGUCAUUCGUCAGGUUCUUGUUCGUCGAGAGCUUGAUCUUUCUGCUAAAGAAUUGCAGGUAAGCUGCUGGAAGCUUUUCUUUUUUUUUUUUUCAAGGAACAUUUAGCUAGUUGUUUGAAAUGAAUCAUAUAUGAACAAGAAACACACUUAAAUGAUGCCAUAGUUGAAAAUUAAGGGUAAGUUACACCAUCAAUUCCUAAACUAUUGCUUGAAUUCAUUUUGGUCCCUAAACUUUGAUUUGUUGCACUAGGGUAUUUGAACUUUUGAAACAUUCCAAAUUUAGUCACAUUCCAAGUUAAAGUCCUGUUGUCUGCAUCCAUCAUGCAGAAAAGCCGAAAUUUGACAUAGCAUGCCAAGUCGCUGUUCCUGAACCUGUAGAGUGUAGAUUACUAUUUUUAACGACUAUUUUUCAUGAUUACCACACUAAUUAAGAUUGAAGUAGCUAAUGAUGCAAACCGAGGGGACUUUUUGUCGGAUCGUUGGCGCUAACCAUUAAUUCCAAAAUCUCGAGCAGUUAGAAAUACGCAACCAAUUCACUUAAAGCGUACAGAAACAGCGCCCAUAGGUCUCGAUUGUGACUCGGCCCACCUCACGCCACUUCGAACAUGACUCGGCCCAACCUAGCCUCACGCCAUUUCAAACAUGAUUCGGCCCACAUGGCCUCCCGCCACAGGGCAGGAUGCUGGCCCAUUUAAGCCAACACUUUUGAGUCGCGCAGAUAAGUUACGAACUCACAAGCAGUUACUUGGCCUGCUAUGUUAGAAUUCUCUCUCUUUGAACAAUGGAAGCUGGCAGCUGGACUGAAUUUGGAAUAUUUCAAAAGUUUGAGGCCCUUAAUGCAACAAAUUAAAGUUCAUAGAUGGUUAGAUAUGUUUCAUUAUAUAUGCGCUUUUAUUGUGUCUUUCUGUUUUGCUUUUUUAUUUUAUUCUUUUUGUAUUUAUAGACCUAUUGUUUUGUUAAAGAGAGCUGUUGUUUACUUUUCACUCGUUAUAUUUUUUAUUAUGCUGAGAUUAUGUGCCAAAAUUGAAGUGUGUUUCAAAUUAAUUGGCUAUAUAUUUUGCUGUCUAUGAUAAAUUGGCUCUUUAGUAAUUUAAAAGAUUAUGUAGGUUAUAACUGCCAAUGAUAGGCACAAUAUUGCCAAAAAGUCUUAUUUAGCCCUAUUUUUAAUCUGAUCCCACAUUAGAUAUUUAGAUAUCUGUAGACUGAUAAUGAAGAACCAUGUAAGAAUGAGAAAAACUACAUCUUGUACAAACGAUGGAUGUCUUCCCUGGCACCCCUCUCAUUAUUUUGUCGUCCUUUGAGUGUAUGUAAUGUCAUUAGUGUUUCUGGUUAUUAGUCUUUCAAAUUGCAUUUGGACUGGAUCUGGAUGAUCUUAAAUUUGUAUUAUAUGCUGAUAACUCUUACUCGCAAUUCGACACUUGAGGAACAAGUACGGAGUGGCGAUGCGACUGCCACGGAGUGUUUUGAGCUUGGUGCUGUCAUGCUCAGGAGAAAAUUUUAUCCUGCUGCUACAAAAUAUUUAUUGCAAGCAAUCGAGAAAUGGGAUAGGGAUGACCAAGACCUAGCACAGGUAAGAAUCACAUAUCCUAUCUAUUUAUUAACAAUCGUUAUCAUGGUUAAUAACUCUCAGUUUUAGUGAUGCCCCAUAUCUUUAAUUUUUUUUAUAUAAAUAGUUGGACGCUUGUUUAUCUCGAGGCGAUUUCAUGUUUGCAUGGUCCCGUUCUUCCUAGUUUUUCAAAAGCAUUGCUAGUAAGUGGUUGCUAAUGAAGAUCUCUUCUUGAGUGAAUUACUCAACAUAUUUUCACUGAAGUUGUGAACCUAUUUUCAGUCAAAAGAAUUCGAAAGGCAUAUUAAUUUCCUAAAAGGAGCUUAUCUAGAGAAUAUAUUAGGCCUUCCUAGUUUUUAUAACAUUAAUAAAGAAUCAGUGGAAUUGGUUAGAUAGCGUCAGUACUAAGAAAUUCUUUUUUACACUCCACAAUGAAUAAUAACUUAUGAUUUGCAUUUUCACUUUCUCUGCACUUCAUUAUGAUUUUACUUAAUUUGUGACAAACUGAGAAUGGCUCAUCGGGACGUGACACAAGUAGGGUUUACAGAUUGAAUAGGAGAGUAGGAAAUUUUUAAGGGCUUAGAGGUAAGGACUUGCUCUAAUAAAAUAGUAUCCUUAGCUUUCUUUUUUUUUUUCCUCCUUUUCUACAGGUAAUCUGUACCCAUGUUAUCUGUAAAAAUAAUUGAAGUAUAACUAGUUUGAAAAUGACCUCAAUUACCUAACCCACAUUUCGCUGUAACCUUUCUUCAAAAGUUCUGAUUAGAUCAUUCUACUCAAAUCAAAAACUUUUUCAAAUUCAUCGUAAUUUUGAAUCUUUGAUGCAAUGGCUAUUCUAGUUAGGCGGUUGAACUGAUAAUCUGUUGGGGAAUAUGAAUGGAGAUAAAGUAAAUUAUGGUCUUGAGGCGUGUAAGUUCACUUUCUUUAAGGUGAUAUUUGCCCCCACUCGAAUGUAUGCUGUCGGGUUACCGACAAAUCACCUCCAGGAUACAACAAGACCGCUGAAAGACUGCAAACAACACUUUUGAAGACUUUCCCUUAAGAACUUCUCUCUUAAGAAUCAAUAUGAAAAAUUAGGAAGGAGAAAGGAUUGAUUAUGUUAUUCUUGAAGCCUUCAAACAUCUCCUAUUUAUAGGAGGUGACUGGUUAUGAUGAAAGGACAACUUUUAAAGUUAUAUUCUUUCACAAAAGGACACGUACUUUCACAAAUAACGAAAAGACAUAUUCUUUCACAAAAGGUUCAUCUCUUCGUGAAGAAAUAUAUCUCUUCUUGAAGGGACAUCUUUACAUCAAAUGAAAAGACGAAUCUUUUCAUAAGAAUAACUAUUUUAUGAAGAGACAACUAUUCAAUAAUCUCACUUCCACUAUUAUAAGCUACACUAACAUAAUCUCUCAAGCAUGUAUAAAGCUGAUAGAAGUUUGUUGGUCUUUUACAAAAGUGAAUUCGCAGGUACACCAUCAAAUUUAUGAACUGGUGGCAGAAACUCUUGAGAUGAUCCUCGAGAGUCCACCUAAAAUAGAUUGGUUGAAGAGUUUUUAAGGCACCGGAUAAUUCUUUUUAUUUGUAUUCUGUAACAAUGCCUGAUUGAAUUAAGAUCAAUUGCCCAUGCAGAGUUUUUAAAAGCUACAACAUCAUCCUCUUUGAAAACUUUCCAUUAAUUCUCAUAAGAUGUGAUGAGAAUCCACAUCAUGUGUGACUUGAUUUCUUCUUCCAUUCUCAGUUAAUCCUAUUUACAAGUCUAGCAGCGUGAUUGGUCAAGAUUUAUGUACUGAAAUUUUAUGAUGAUUCAUCAUGAACCCAUUUGACACACAGGACUGGAUUGGAUUGGAUUGGAUAAUAUAAGACAUGAGUGCGAUGUUGGGAAAGGAGGGGUCAUUUAGUGACUCAAAAAGGCAUCGAGGUUCAUGAGAGGAAUCAAAUUGGAUCAAAUUUUUCCGUCGAUUUUGUUAAUCGCAAACGAGAUGCUGCUAAUAAACAAGAUUGGAUUUGAAAUAUUCUUUUCUGCCCGACCUGUUCCCUGUUUCUACUCUUUAUGAUCCCGUGACACCUCCGACUCACUAAACACUUCUUCUCCCCUAGUAUUGCUCUUUUAUCUUAUUGUUUCCAAUCUAAUCCUGAAUGCCAAAUGAGGUCCGUGUACUUAAAAAUCAUGGGGAUAAUAAUAAUAAUAAUAAUGCUUACUUAAACAUGAUCACAAUACAAGUUAUACAGGCGACUCUCUUAGUCUCUUCGAUCACUUUAUGCUGAUGUAAUAGUAUAUUUGCAUUUUGCACAUACUACUUUUCUAGUAAAUUUGAAGUUACAUAGUGGAUAUGCUGAAAAAUAUAAGCAUCCGUGUACUCUUGCUAUGUUGAUUCAGAACAAACUGAACACUGGUGAGUUUUGAACAGGUGUACAAUGCGCUGGGAGUCAGCUAUGUCCGCGAUAAUAAGCUUGACAAAGGAAUAAUGAUGUUUGAGAAAGCAGUGAAGCUCCAACCCGGGUACGUUACGGCUUGGAACAAUCUCGGCGAUGCGUAUGAGAGGAAGAAAGACUUGAGAGCCGCGCUGAGGGCAUUCGAAGAGGUGCUCCUUUUCGACCCGAACAAUAAGGUGGCGAGGCCGCGGCGAGACGCCUUGAGAGAGCGCGUCCAGAUGUACAAGGGAGUUUCGAUCAAAUCUGAGGAUCGGUAAUUCUGACUUUCUUGUAACUGAGAAAUUCUAAUUUUGACUUUGCUUUUUCUGAAUUUUCUAAAAUUCAAAAUUCUGAGCUUGCAGUUCUAUGACAUAAUAGUGUGAUUAGGAUUGAAUUGUGCAUUCUUAGUUAGCUAAACAAUUAGCAUGAAUAAAAGGAAUAAAAAGCGGAAGAUCAGAAGAACACUUCAAAAGAGAAAGGUGAAACUUCAAAAGUCCCCCAAUGAAUCAUGGCAUAGCACAUUCGCGAAUUUACUAUCCCGUGGUUCAAAAUACAGCGCUUUGUCCGCUUAUGAUUAUUGUUUUAGUUUUCUGUCAGGUUCUGCCAUUCAAAAGGGUAGCAAAAUUCUAAACUUUAUAAACCUAGGAGGGCAAAAUGUAGCACUUUAUCGCACCGUUAUUUGCGCUUUACUAUUCCAUGGUUUAUAAAGUGUACCACUUUGUUGUUCUCUUGAAUUGCAUGUUCUUAUGAAAAGCUUAAACAGAGGUCUUAAGGAGGUAAUGUGUUAUACUUUGAAUCACAGGUAGUAAACUACAGAUGUGCUAUGCCUUAUUUUUAAGCUUCCCCAGAGAAAAAAUAUUACCACUUUCAAAGGAGAACUGCUAUAGGCUGGGUUAGGCAUGAGGAAAAGGUAUACAUUUGAUUCAUUUUAGCAAGGAUUAAUUUCUAUUUUUUCAUUAUCCUAAUGAUGUCUUUUCCAUUUAAGAAAGUUUGAAGUUGAAAAGUUAAAUAUUAAAGAAAAGAGUUGUUUUUGUUCUUGAUACUUGCCAUAGUGUCAGGGUCUCUUAAAUAGAGAUGCACUAGGGUUUAGUAAGGCAAAAUAACUACAAAUACAAUGCCAUGAUAAGCUUAUCAUAAUAGGAAGUAUGUUAAUAUGUAUGAAAAUCAUAUGUGAUAUAUAUGCAUGAUACAUGAUAAUGCCCAAAUUUAUGUGAUUAAGUGAAGAUAUUAUUAUACUAACAAAGAACUCUCAUGACACAUUUGAUUCAUAAUAGGAAUCGGAAUCAGAAUGAGCUGGAAUUAGAGAUGAAAUUAUGAAUCUCCUGUAGAUGUUUGGAUUAGAAUAACAAUUGGAAUGGGAAUAGUUGAUUCCUAUCUUUAUUGUUUAUCUGAAAUGGAGGAAGUGUUAAUAAUUCGAAAAAUAUUUAAAAUAAAAUUUAGAUUGAAAUUUAAAAUAGAAAAUUGAGUUUAGAACUCAAAACAUAAAAUUGGAGUUGAACAUAAUUUGAAUUUAAAUUUAAAUUCAUAGCUCUAAUUCCAACUGGAUGAUUGAAUUUAAAAUUCAAGUCAAGUUGAAAUCUAAAUCUAAAUUUAAAAAUCAGAUUCAAAACGUAAACUUGUAUUUUAAUUCAAAAUUGAAGUUCCCGAUCUUAAAGAUUCAAAUUUGAGUUCACACUUACUAAUUUAAACUCGUAUUGUACUUCGAAAUCGACUUCAAAACUUUUAAUUUAAGCUUGUAUAAAAAUUUGAAUUUGAAUUUUAAAUCUCUAUGAAAAAUGUAAUUGAGAUAUAUUAGGAAUAUGCAUUGAUUCUCCUGAAUUCAGUUUUCAAUCUGUUGCCCUAGGCCUAGGGAUGCAAACGGGGCGGAUCUGGGGGCAGAAGCCCCGCCCCGCCUCCCGCCCCGACUAGUAAAAUCCCACCCCACCUUCCACUCCGAAUCCGUGACGGGUUAAAAAAUACAUUCCAUAAUCUGCUCCGUCUCAUAACCCGCCUCCCACCGGCGCCCCGAAUCCGCCUCGCCAACUAAUAUUUUUUAUAAAAUUAUAAUAUUAUUAAUAUUUUGUAAAAUAUAAAUUAAUAAUUUUUAAUAAUAUUAUAUAUAUAAUUAACAAUAUUAAUUAUAAAAAUAAAAAAUAUCAAUCACAAUUCAAAACAAAAUUUAAAAGUUUCAAAUAUAUUAGAAAUGAGAGUACUAAAUUUGUAUUUUGAACUUUUUUGUAAAUACAUUAUUUUUUAGAAAUAUUUUUUUAAAAUAUAAAUAAUUUUCGGGACGGAUUCAGGGCGGAUCAUGGCGGGGCGGAUUCGGGGCGGGUCAAAAUUUCUCCCGUUUCCUACCCCGAAUCCGUUUAUCUUCUCCCAUUUACUGCCCCCGUCCGGACGGAGCAGGGCGGGAGCUCCACCAACCCGGAUCCGUUUGGAUUCCCACCUAGGCCAGAUUGAAAAAGAAGUAAUCGGAGGAUUCCCAUUCCACUCGAGAAUUAGGAUCAGAAUCAGAAUCGGAAUCGCGAUUAGAAUGAGACUCUACUAGCAUACCAAACACCCAAACAGAGUGAUCCACUCUGAUUCUGAUUCCGAGGUAAGAAAUAGGCGAACCAAAGACGGCCUCAAAGUUGUCCCACAAGUGGGAAAAUUUUGUUUAUUGCUUGGUUGACGGCCGCAGGUGGAUUGAAAGAAAUAACUGACGAAUAAUUAUAAGAAAUAACUCACGAAUAAUUAUUGAUGUUCUUUAGAUAAUCCUAUUUUAGACAAUAUAUGUAAAUUUGUUGUAUAUGCUUCUUUAACAACUUCUCUGCUAAAAAAGCAAUUCAUCAAACAGAGGAAAAAAAAAAAAAAAAAAAAAAAAAAAAAAAAAAAAAAAAACUUCUGCAAGCCCUGUUUGUAGCUCUUGAUUGUGCUGGAAUGAAAAGAUUGUAGUGCUUCUUUCUUUACUUCAGCUUAAGCAACUCACCCUUGGAAGAUGUAACUAUGCCAAGUAGACCAGGGAUGUCGAUGGGUCGGGUUCGGGGCGAAUUUUCAAAAACCCGAACCCAAAUCCGACUCCAAACCCAAACCUGAAUCUGAACCCCAAUCCGACGAAUUUUAAAAAUUCAUAUUCAAACCCGAACCCGACCAAAAAUCCAAAUCCGAACCCGAACCCAAAAAUCCGAAUCCGAAACAAUUAUUUUUCAUUCCAAUAUUUCAAAAUAUAUUAUAUUAAAUUUAAAUUUUUAAAAUGCAAAUUUAAAUAUAAUAUCAAAUUUUUAUAUACAUAUAUUAUAUAAUGUAAAAUAAAUUGAGGCUCAUAUCGGGUCCAGUUAAAAUCCAUAUCCAUAUCAGCCGGGUUUUUAUUUUUGAUAUUUAUAUUCGAAACCAUAUCCAUUUAGCAUCGGGUAAAUUCGCUCUGUUUGGAUUCAGCUUCGGAGAAAAUUUCGAGUAUCCAUACCCAUUGACAUCCCUAAAGUAGACUCAAAACCAAUUUUUAAUGGAAUAAAAAAAAAAAUUGUCCAAAAUAUCCCAUUUAGUUUUCUCAAGAAACCAAAGCCAAUGGGAAUGCCACAUUUCAUUCUUAGACUAUACUUGUCAAUUUUGAGGAAUUUUUGUACUGCCACAUAUAUUGUGAAAAUGAUUUGUUUCAGAGUGAGCUUGAAGUUAAAGAACAUUUUUCGCCGAGAAACAACGGAAAACGAAAACUUCAAUUUUUCGUCGAAUUCGUAAAAUUAUUUUUACGAAAAAAUAUUUUAUGUCGAACCAAACAGACAAAAAAAUAUUUUUCAUACCGAAAUUUUUUUUUUUUCCUUUUGUUUUACGCGGAAUCAAACAGUCUUUGGUCUUCACUUGUAGGAGAAUAGGGCUCUCCAUUAAAGGAGGGCUUGUAUGUUUAUUUUAACCAAGUGUGAAGAUCAAUUAUUUGAGAAUUCAAUUGGAGAAUUUGAAUUCAGAUCCUUAGAAUAAAUUAAUUUUAAAUUAAAAGUUCAAGGCAAAAUUUGGAAUCAGGUUUUAUGUCCAAAUGAAGCUGAAAUAUGAAUUCAUAGUUGAAAUACAUAAUCUUAGUUCACAUUAUAAUUAUAAAUAUGGGUUCAAUUUCCAAAUUUGAAAUUUCAAUAAAAUUUUGGGUUUAAUUGUUGGAGAAAACCACAACGAAAAUUCGAUUGUGAUACAAAUCGAACUAGUUUUGUGAUGAAAAAUAAAUAAAUUUAACUUACAGACGAUCGCCAAAUCCAAAUAAAUUAUAGAAAAAGAAAUCUAAGAUUAAUUUGCUCCGGAAGCGUACGAGACACUGCCCUAAGGCGUAUUUCCGUCCUUCGUGCGGGAUCAACCGAAAACAGCAGUCCAAGGUACGGCCGUAAUUUCUCUUCCUACAAGCACGAACGUGAAAGAGGUUGACGGAGACUCUUUCAACACCCCAUAAAAAAAAAAUCAAACAAAAUAAAAAUAAAAUAAGAAUUUAAAUAAAGUUUCUCCUUUUGUUUUUUCACUUAGAUCUUUCUCAGCAAUAUUCAUCCUAGAUAAACAGUGCAAUCCAAUGUAUAUAUUCCCAACAUUCCUCUUGAUUCAUGCCUUUAUAUAGCAUAAAGAAGAAAUAAAUUAAUUAAAUUUAAUCCAAAUCCAUUCAAUUAAUUAACACAAUAAAAGAUAAUAAAUGAGAAUAAUUAUAAAAUUAAAUGAUAUUUGGAGAUUUUGGAUUUUUCACCAACAUUAAUUUGGUUCAAAAUUUUUCGAUAGAAUAAAAAAUUAGAAUAUGCUUAAAAUCAAAAUAUAAGUUUAUAUAUAUCUUCGAUUCAAAUUUAAAUUUAUAUUACUAAAUAAAAUUCUACAUCCAAAUUAUAAAGUUAAAAUCAAGUUCUUUUAAUUUGAAAUUUUCUUACGCAGAAAUAACCUCUAAAAAAAAAAUCCUAAUUUCGAACAUCACACUCAAUUUUAAUUUUUUUAAAGCUAGAGGUAAAAUCUCUAUUUAUUAUCAUCUAUCUAUAAUCUAGAAUGGGCUAGAAUAUUUUCCUGGUGCUUCCAAGUUUCUAACCCUUGGAUCCACUCCUUGAUUACUAAUAGCCUUUAAAUCAAAUACUAUUCCACCUACCACCACCUACCGGGUGGGGCCCAGCCGGAAAAGAGAAGACAAAAUUUUUUUUUUCUCUCUCUUCAAUUUUUUUAUUUUUUACUAUAAAAAUUCAUAUUUUUUUUUUUAGUUAGAAAAAAUAUUUAUUUAAUAGUUUUUAAAACUAUUAAUUGAUUAAUUUUUUUAAAUAAAAUUGGUAGCAUAAUAUAAUUAUUCAAAAUUUUAAAAAAUAUUAAUAAAAAAAUAAUUUUUUAAUGUACUAAAUAAAUUUUUAAUUGUCAAAUUUUAAUAAUUAUAUAUUUUAAUUGGCUAUCCGCUGCGAAGUCCUAAGACACGUGGCAAAGAGGAGGCACAAGAGAGGGGCGCGGGAGCCGCGUGGGGCGUCGGCGCUAUGCGGAGAGCCGGCGGGCGCGGGGAGCAAUGCGGGCACGAGGCGCGAGAGGGCGCGGGCGUGCAGGGUGAGUCCCAUGCGGGUGAGCCCCAACCAUGGGGAAAGGGGAGGGGUGGUGUGGGGCCCAGGCGCCGGCGCGCGCGCAGCGGGCCCCGUGCAGGUGGAGGAAUUCUACACUGUCACACUUGUACCACGUCAUUAAUAACAAGCCAAUCACAUUUCUUCUUUUCAAACAAAAGUCCAAUAAAAAUAUUUUUUUACAAUCAUAAUAGGACAUAUAUUUCUAAAAGAAAAUAUUUGAUUGGCUUGUUACGCCACGUCACCAAUAUACCCGUUGCAUUCUAGAAUUUUUCGUGCAGGUGGGGCCGAGCCAGGGGACGGAGAGGGGAAUUUUUGUAUCUCUUAAAUUUUUCUCUCUUCGUAUAUAGAAAGAAAGUUUUAUAAUUUUUUAAAAAAUUUUCAAUCUAUUUUUUAUCUUUUAUUAUAAAAUUUAAAAUAUAUAAAUAAUUUUAAAUAGUUUAAACUGUCCGUAUUAAAUAUAAAUAUUAAUUUUAUAAUAUUGAGUAUUCAGAUAUAGAAUGUAUAUUAAAAAAUUUAAAAAAGAUUAAUGGAGUUUAAGUUAUUUUUAUGUUUUGUGAAAUUUAAUUGCGAGAAUUAUAUAAUAUAAACUAACUAACAUAUUAAUAUGCACCAAAUGCAAGUAAAGAUUUUUCUUCUCAUUUCACUAACUCAUUGGGGAUUACCAUGCCUACUAAAAAAUUUGGAUGCGCUGAUUACACCAUUUAUUAUUUCUUAAUACCUUAUUAGACACGUGGUCAUGUUUGGAAUAAUUAGUAUAGAGUAAUUUCAUUCAUAUCUCUCAAAAGAUUAAAAAUAUCAUAAAUAAUCAUGCGCCCCGCGCCUCCGCCUCCCGCUGCCACGUGUGCAGUUAUUAGGAAUAAUAUAUCUUUAUAGAUUAAUAAUAUCAAAGCAAAUAAAAGAGAACAAGAUGAGUAAAUAUUUAAUAAAGUUGAAAACUAUUUCAAAAUAGCUUAUUAUUAAGAACGGUCAUUAUAUUUUCUAUGUUAGGGAAUAUAGCUAUACUUAUUUGAAACUUUCUAUGUUAGGGAAUAUAGCUAUACUUAUUUAAAAUCGUUUCGUAAUUUUUUCGUCACAUUCUAUAAUUAUUUUAAAAUUGAUUUUUAAAACUAAUUUAAAGAUUGAAUUUUAAAAUAACUAUCCGCAGCAUCGCACGGAUCCCUUAACUAGUAUAAACUUGAAACUACAACACUUGUAAAAAAUUUAUAUUACACGUCUUUUAGAAUUUAUUGUACCAAAAAAUAUAUAAUUGAGAGCAUGAUUUUAAAUCUAAGUUUAGUUUUUAAGUUCAAAUGAUCAAUAAUAACUUCGAACUUUGAAACUGUCACAUAUCUAGAAAUUAAACUAAUAUUGGAUGAUUUUUUUAAUAAUUGACUUGAAUAGUCAAAAAUUUAUAUUCAAAGUUUAAUCAAAAUUCAAUUUUGAGGAAAAAUUUAAUUUGCAUACCGAAUUUUUUUUUAUUUUGUGUAAAUUGGAGGAAGAAGAAAAAAUAAAUAAAUAGUGUAAUUUCAUCCUAAAAAGUGCAACUUCUACCUAAAUAGUACAACUUUAUCUUAAAAGUAUAAAUCUGAUUCCAAUGACUGGGUAGAAUAGAUCCAUCUAAUUUCGAACAUUUUUUCCAACUAGAAACAGCAAAUUAAAAUUUUUAACCCAAAAUAAAUGCGUAAUGAGGAUAUUUAUCAAGUUCGAUAAAGUUUUUUUUUUUUUUUUAUUUCCCAUAAACCCUGCCUGGGCCAUAGCGUUACAAAUAAAAAUAAAAGAAAUCAAACUACCAAGACAUAAGGGCAUAAAAGAAGAAGGUGUUAGUCCAGUAAACAUUUAGUUGGCAAGGCACUUCUAAAAUAAAAUUCAAUUAUAUAGACUUACAUGAGACCAGUGCCAGCAAUAUCAAACUCCAAAUGAAUGCAUGACCGAUCAGAAGUGCCAUUUGCAAGGCUCCAACUCUUCUCCAAAUAUUCGCCAUCUUCAUGGUUGAUAAAUACGAAGGCCCAGUCGCGGAGGCGUGCGUGGUGGGCGGUGAUGGCCCAGUCGCGGAUCCACCCGAAGCUGUGGAUGCGGGCUCCAACAGCUCGCCGACGUCGCCGAGGCUGCCGACGACGUUCGCAGCGGCCGAGUCGGAGACGUCCAGGAAGGUGGGCACGGCGCCAACGGUGAUGAACAUGGAUAGCACACGGGCAUUGUUGUUGUUGUUGUUGUUGUUGUUGUUGUGUUGGUCGGCGGAGGAGGCCAAGGAGGAGCAAAGGGAUUUGAUGAGGGCGGUAGGACACUCAGGGAGGAGAUCGAAGGGGAAGAAAGAAGGAUGUGUUAGUUGUAUGCCCAAAAGCCAAUCUGGUAACACUAGCUUAAGGGUAUUUUAUGUAUUAAUUAUUUAUAAUUCAUAAUAUAAGGGCAGAUAUUUUAUUCAUGUCUAUUGUAUAGCAGUUCAAUAUUGACAUGAAUCGUCCAUAGAGUCUUUGUUUAAAAAGACAUAUUCCUAAGAGUUAGGAAUUUGAGAUAUAUAUUUUUCUGUACGAGACUCUUUAAAUGCUCCUAGCCAGAGGAAUAUUACAGGAAAUAUGAUGUUCCGGAUAGGCCGAUGUAUCCUAUGUUUCUAAUUGAGAUGACGAAUCUCAAGUCACUAAUAUAGGGACACUAGAACAAGCAUACAGGUGCUUGUUAGAGAACAAGUAUACUGAGCGUGACUAUUUAGUUGAACAGUCACAUGGUUCUAUGCUCGCCAGUGACAAGUCCAUUGCUACAGUUGUGUGAAGUACUCCUCGGACCUGAGGCAUCAUAGUUGCUUCACGUAUAGAUUGCUACCGUUUGACAGUACUAAUACUUAGACUCUAGACACAUGUCUAUGUUCGGUACUGAUUGGCUGUAGUGAUUUAUGCGAGGAGGCAUGUGAAUGCGCAAUAAGAAAUCCAACACUCUCAAUGAUGAGGGAGAAUGUCCUAUAUAGUUUAUCGGACUCGACUCGAAAAUUCCUGGCCAGAAUAUAUGGUAUGUGGAAAGAGUUUCUAACUGUGUUACCAUAUUGAGUUGAUUUCAGAUAUUCUAAUCAUAUGGUCGAUGAUAAAGUUUGGCGAGUAACCAUGACCUUAGUUCGAUUGGGACGUUGUAUAUUGGAAGGAAUUAAUCACAUGGUAACUGAAAGCGGAAAGAUUCAUUCUUCAUCACCAUUCUAAAUUGCUGUGAUAUACUGCUAGGUGUCACUCACGGACGGUGAGAAAAUAUGAAUGAUUCGAAUUGAAUUGUUCUUAUUUAUCGAUUAGAAGAGUUCUAAUUAAAUAUCAAAUUGUUUGAUGUUGAGCUCCACUGCCGAAUGAUAAUGAACUUAUGUGGUCACACACAUUAGGAAUUGUGUGCACCUGAAUCAUUUGGAUAAGAGUCGUUCACCAAAGAGUUUAGUGUAAGCGAUGAAAAUAAAAAGAAGUUGUUUAAUUAAAUUAGAUUUAAUUAUUCAAUUCAGUUAUAACUGAUAGUCCUAAUUAGAUUAGGAUAUCAGAAUCAGUUCGAGAAUUAUGCGCAAGAUUUAAAUUUAUCUCUAAUUAGAUUAGUGGAUAAUAUUUAAAAGAUAUUUAAAUGAGAUUUAGAUAUUAGUAAGUAAUUUUAUUAGAUAAGAUCAAAAUUAGAUAAGAUCUAAUCAAAUAUUGGAGAGAUUAAUAUUUAUCUCUAAUUGGAUUAGAGAAUAAUUAAAUAUUCAUAAUAUCUUAUGAGAUAAGAUUUUUUACUAGAUUUGAUUUAGUUGGAUAAGCAUGAAUAUUUAAUUAUUAAAUUUUAUUGGAGAGAGAAAAAUUUUAUUAAAUAAAAUUUUAUGAAAUAAAAUUCUAUAUAUAUACAUAUAUAGAUUUAUAUGUAUAUGUUAGCAUAAAAAUUAAAAUAAAAAAAAGAAAAGGAAGAGAACCGUAAGGCACAUAGUGCCAUACGGAUUGAAUGCAUGGUAAUUAAGAUGCCAUGCAUCUUAAUUAAUUUGAUGCAUGUUAGCUUUUUGAUCUAUAUACAUAUAGAGAUCAAUCUCUCCGAUUUCUCUCCGCGUGCACACGUGUUUCUCUCCGAUCAACUUCUCUACUCUUCAUCGACUGGUGCAUCAUGAGGGAUUGCUAGCACCGUCCAGAUGGUCCGUGACUCAUCCGAUUCGUGAGACGAAAAUUGAUCGUGUCGCCGAUUCCGUGUGGAUACGCGUAGAGGCCGGGCUUGUGCGCGGCUAAUCAGAACCUUUAUUCGUCAUAUUCAGUUUCAACCGUACAGUAAAUCAAGAGACCUUAACUGGUCCAUGGUAAGAUCUCUAAACAUAAAGAGUUUUGUUUAGAUUAAAUUUUUACACAGUAACAUGAGAAUGAUCCGCCAGCAACGGUUUGAUUUAUUAUUUUUCGGUUUUCAUAUGUGAUAUGUAUUUAGCUUCUGCAAAAUUUUAAAAGUGUAAAAACUAUUUUCUGCUACGUUUUUUUUUCUGAUGUGCCGGUUAAUUUCUAACAGGAGGAAGAAAAGGAAGAGAAAAAAUAGUGUAAAUUGGAGAAAGAAGAAGAAAAAAGAAAUAGAGUGCAACUUCUACAUAAAUAGUGCAACUCACUACAACAGAAUUAGGUUAUAGGGACACAUGUUUGGGACACUUUUGAGUAAGUGUCCCAUUUAUACUAAAACUUAAAAAAAUAUUUACUAAUGCCUAAAUAUAAAGCCCAAUCCAACCAAAAAUAAAAGAUUACUCUACUCAACCCACCACACCCAGUCCAUUUGGCCCGAUUACAAACAGAAAAGAAAAAAAAAGAAAAAUCAAUUACCAUAUUUUCUUCUCUCUUCACUCAAUCCACUGAAAUUCUAGACGAAGAGCCAUUCCUGUCGUCCUCCUCCGCCACCGCAGCCAACGAAAUAGAGUUUCGGCGGUUGCUAAAUGCUUAAAUAAGUUGUUGGUAAAUUAGCAGCACUCUUUUAGGUUAUAGCGACACUCUUUAAUUGUCACUAUAUACCUAGCGACCCCACAUAUAGCAACACUUUUUAAAAGUGUCGGUAAUUUUAGCUAGCAGCACUUUUUUGACAUGUACCUACAUUUAAAAGUGUCGCUAUAGACCGUUUUUGUUGUAGUGUGUACUUAAUCCUAAAGAGUGUAAAUCUGAUUUCAAAGACUGUAAUUUCUGUCUCAAUUCUCAAAUAGUGCAACGUUUAUUUAAAAUAGUGCAACAUUAUUUUAAUAGUGCAAUUUCAUUAUCUUCUUCCUUUUUAUAUGAUUUUUGAUCUUUUAUGGAGGAAAAAAAUAUUUUUUUAUUUUUAUUUUUAUUUUUUAUAAUUUUUUUUGUGACGAUCUCCCCCUUGCACUCUAUUGCAACCAUCGCCCUCGCUGGAGUUUUCUCCCUUCUCUUGGUGUGCUUUUCGUCCUCGAGAAGCGCUUUUUCUUCGUCGCCGGUGGCAGCGGUAGGCUGCGAAGGCGGUGGAGGAGGAUCGGAGAAAAAAAAAAAGAGUUGCGGCGCGGUCUCAGCGGGGUCGGAGGCGAGGAGGGAGGGUGGGUGCGCGGGCGAGAAAGAGGGCGUGAGGGAAAGAGGUGAGGCACACCGUUUCCACCUCUGCCUCCGUCGCCUUUUUCGAAAAGGAAAAAUAAAGAAAGAGAGAACAAAAAAGAAGAGAGAGAAAAAAUAAUAAGGGCAUUUUGGUUAGUUUACUAAAAAUUCAGACUAAAUCUGUAAAAUCGAAAAAAGCGGCCCAGUUUUGCAAAAUCCCAAAACUAGUGGAUUUUUUAUGCAAAAAGGCCAAAUUUUAUUGGAUGUUUAAUAUAUAAAGCCCUCAAGGCGGUGGCGCUCAAGGCAACGGUGGCGGCAGCACUCUAGGUGGAGGUGGAGGUGACGGCGACGAGGAGGGAGCUGCCGAAGAAGGGUCGGUUGGUGGAGGUGGUGGUCGCUACUGGCCUACUGCUGCAUACCCUCCUCCUAGUCGGCCCGCUUCCCCGUUGGCACCACCCUCGGCCCCUCCUUGCUUGCUUUCGAAAUCUCCCUUGUCGUUGCCUACCUCAAUCCCAACCCCAACACCAACGUCAACAACAUCAACAUCACUGACCCGAUGCCACGCCUACGCCUCCACUUUGGGCGAUGGCGUCGGCGUUGUGCUCGCCGGAGAGCAACGGAUGCGAAUUACAGCAAUGGUACCAUCAUACCAGCGAAGGCGGAGGCGGAGGCGGAGGCGAAGGCGAAGGCGGAGAGUCGGAGAGAAAAAAAGAGCAUAAAAAAAAAAAGAGAGAGAAAAGAGAAUAAAGGUAUUUUGAUCAAUAUCCUGAAAAUUCGAACUGAAUCUGCAAAAUCCAAAAUAAUGGUCUAGUUUUGUAAAAGCUGAAAACUUGUAGAUUUUUUAUGCAAAUUGGCCAAUAUUAAAAGUUAAAAAUAUUAAUCAAAUAAUUAUUUUUUAGAAAAUUCUAUACAUUACAUUACAAUACAGCAGAAGAUCCAUUCCAGAUACAAAAAAAAUGAUAGUCGUGAUGUGGAACAGUUAUAUUUUAAAUUACCAAAAUAUUAAAAAAAAAUAAAUAUUGUGAAAAAUAACUAAUAUUAUUUUUCCGUCGCAUUGCACGGGCCCUUAGCGAGUAGUCAAUAUAAACCUAUGAAUCGGCAACCCUAACGGAGCCCUCCCUGCUUUUCGCGCUCUCCACCCUCGCGUACGACGCCCGCUCCCGCCCCCCUUUCUUCCUCUUUGUCUUUGCUGGGAUGGUCCGCUCUGACCUUUUCGUCCUCUCCGCCCUCACUGCGGUGGUCGCCGUUAUCCCUCGGGAACGCAGCCGCUUUUUCCGUACGGCGCAGCGUUCCCCCCCUCCCCGCCCCCUCCGCUUUCUCUUCGUCCUCUCUGCGUAGACGCGACGCCGUGCGGUAUGGCGCCUCCCCUUCUUCUGUCGUCCGUCUGCCCUGUCCCGUCUGACUCUCCGUACAAACGGGGGGUUGGCAUUGUGCCGUCAGCGGUGUGGGUCUUUUCCUCCGCCGCACGUGUUCAGCUGUCCAGUCCGGCAUGGCUCCUCCCUGUGGUUUGUGGUCAACAGGCAUUAAUCAAGGUAUAUAUCAUGGCCUUCUUUUUUCCCCUAUCCUGUUGUCCUCCGCGAUCGCAGCCCACCUCCCGUAGGGCAUGGCGCUCGCACGCUCUCUCUCUCUCUCUCCCCCUCCUGUGUAUGGUUUCCUGUAGGGCUUCCAUGCGGCUGCUCAUCUUUGUCCCUCUGUGCUCUCUCUCCCUGAUUUAUCCUCUCUCACUGUGCUCUGCUUGCUUUUCCUCUGUCUGGUUAUUAUAAAUACUAAAGGGCUGGUGUUUUUUUUGUCUGCACAUUUCUACUUCGCCCUAAUUUUGAACCCCCUACUUUUGGAACGUUGUUGCUCUGUCGUUCUUGCCCUGUGGUGCUUUUGAGCGUUGCAGCUGAUCGAUAGGUAAAAAUAAGCAUUCGGAUGCUUCCUGAUUUCCCUCCCCCCUUCCAUUUUUUUGCCCUCUUAUACUUACUCUUAGACUUUUUCCCCUACAUGUUGGUGUGUUUGAUUUUGUGCGGGUCUGCAUACCUGUAUAACUGAUGGCUCUACUAUACACUAAAUAAUGUUUCGCUCGCUGUGAAAGCCCUACUUAUAGCUCUCAGUUUGGUACCAAACUCUAACCAGUGCAUAGCUAAUGUGGUUUAAAUACGCAUAUCUGGUUUGAAUUUUCUAAUGAGUAGUUGUCCAAUUUAAGAGAUGUAAUUAGCGUCAGAUGCUUUGGUUUUUGAGUUAUUGGAUUGGUUUGUCCUGAUUGGUUUGGUAACGGAUGCAGUUUUUAUGUUGUUUUGUUCUAAAAUUGAUCUAGGAUACUCUUUAGGAUUCUUAAUCACUAUUUAGGAUAUUGUAAUUAUAAUUGGUUGUGUUUGACUAGAAAUUUUUUAGCCCCUUUCAUCUAUUAACUAUUGAUCAUGAAGUGCAAUUUUACUUAACAUGAUAACUUGACUGUUCACAUUUGUUAAUAGUUUACUUAACAAAUGUCCAUCGUUGCUGUUAUACGCAGAUUUGGUUUGAAUUUCCUAAUGAGUAGUUGUCCAAUUUAAGAGAUGUAGUUGGCAUUAGAUGCUUUGGUUUUUGAGUUAUUGGGUUGGUUUGUGCUGAUUGGUUUGGUAAAGGAUGCAGUUUUUAUGUUGUUUGGUUCUAAAAUUGAUCUAGGGUACUCUUUAGGGUUCUUAAUCACUGUUUAGAGACACUAAUUAUAAUUGGUUGUGUUUGAUUAGAAAUUUUUAAGUGUUUGGGUUGGUUCGGCGUACAUGAUUUGGUAAAGGCGAGAAUUAUUUUUUAAAGAACUUUCUUUAAGGUUUUGCUUGGUUUCCAAAUUUUCCACAUGUGCCUACAUUUUUUUUAGCUUUAGAUUUCAGAUUUUUGCUGCAUUAAUUUGCUUCCAGAAAAUUGGAACAGGUCUCUUCUAGCAUUUUUCUUGCUGUUGUGUUAUCUUUUUUCCUUUCUUUUUUAUUUUUUUGGGAGGCUGUGAUGAUAUAAAAAAAAAGAGACAUGAGAUUUGGAUGGUCUGGUUUCUAGGCAACCAACUCUUGAUUUUCAUUGUAUCCUCUACAACCUAUAUCUUAAGGUUUUUCUCUAAUUGUAUGGUCUGGACUUCCUUUGAGGUUUUGUUUUUGUUCUCUUUUAUAUUGUUGUUUACAUCUAUGAAGUUUUUUUGCACCUAGAUACAUUCUAUAUCUAAUAAAUUAUUUAGACAUAGAUUAGGCAUGUGAUAAGCUACACCUAGCUGUAUCAAUUAAAUUUUGUAUCAUGUUGUUUUUAGAAAAUCAGUGCAUUUGCAUAUCCAUAUAUAUAUAUAUACAUAUAUAUAUAUAUAUAUAUAUAUAUAUAUAUAUAUACAUAUAUAUAUAUACAUAUACAUAUAUAUAUAUACAUAUACAUAUAUAUAUAUACAUAUACAUAUAUAUAUAUAUAUAUACAUAUAUAUAUAUACAUAUAUAUAUAUAUAUAUAUACAUAUAUAUAUACUGUCCAUAUAUGAAAAAAAUCAGGUUUUGACUGCCUACUUUCUAGGCAACCACCUCUUAGUGUUCCUUGUCCCUUCCUCAGCCUAUAUCUUAAGGUUUGGUGGAAAUAAUAUCUGAGCCUCCCUACGUUUUAUAUGUUCUCUGUAUUUUUUUAUAUUGCCUAUGUUUUUAUUGUUGCCUUUGUUUUUAUUGUUGUAUAUAUAUAUAUGUAUAUAUGUGUGUAUGUAUAUAUGUGUGUGUGUGUGUGCGCGCGCGCGCAUGUGUGUGUGAACUAUGAAAAAAACUGGGUAGAUCUAACCCCUUAUUUCUAAAUUACUAAAAGUAUAUAUGUGUGUGUGUGUGUGCGCGCGCGCGCAUGUGUGUGUGAACUAUGAAAAAAACUGGGUAGAUCUAACCCCUUAUUUCUAAAUUACUAAAAGUAUAUAUGUGUGUGUGUGUGUGCGCGCGCGCGCAUGUGUGUGUGAACUAUGAAAAAAACUGGGUAGAUCUAACCCCUUAUUUCUAAAUUACUAAAAGUAUAUAUGUGUGUGUGUGUAUAUAUAUCUAUAUGUAUAUAUGAACUAUGGAAAAAAGUUACUAGAUCAAAUUCUGUAUUUGUAGAUUAGUAAAAGCAUAUAUGUUGCUUCACUGUCUCUUCAUUUGCACAUUGAAUCUUUUUCGAAGUCUCCAGUAUAGGAUACAUUCUACACUUGAUCUCAGGUAGGAGGGGGCACAUAUGAUGAGGGGGUGGAUGCCGACCAAUAUACACUUCUUGUUCAACAUGAUUUUUUAACUUCUUUAUCCUCUACUUGCACAUCUACAAAAUCUGUAAACUGUUGAGGUUUUGAGCUAGAUUUUUUUUUGAGCUAUUUGGUAUUUUGAUAUUCCAGUUUUAGCUCUGCUCGAGUUUUUGCUUAUAUGUAUGUGUAUAAUGCAUAUAUGCUUUCCUUUAUUUCUUACGAUAAUUUUUUUGGGAAGUUUGUUUGCAGCUUUAUUUGGUUUUAGAAUUUGACUCUAAACAGGUUUUUACAUAAUUCUGCUGCAUUAUCCCUAAAAAGUAUGAUCAAUUGAACAAAGUAAAAGAAAUAAGGUAAUGUGGUAUUGCAAAUAUUCGCUAAUUGAAUAAUUCGAAGUAGCCAUUAGGUUUCAGUUUGCUAUUUAGGUUUCGAUUUUUCAAAAAGAGGGUUGGUUUGUAUAAGGAACACUGAAGUUUAUGAGCUGAAGUUUUUAUGAAAAAUGUCAUGAGGAACACUGUAGUUUUCUUACACUGAAGUUAUAUUCUCAUGAUUAUAGAAGGCUGAAAAUUGGUAGAGAAGGCUGGAAAUUGAUUUAAUAUAAUGAUUGUGGUUGCCUCUACACUUACAUAAGCUAAAUUUGAGAAGGCUGGGAAUUUGGAGAGAUUUUUUGCAAAUAUUUGCCUGCUACUGUCUUCUCUAGUUUUGCCUACUAUUGGCUUUGGGGCAGUGAUAAUAGAAAAAAAAUGAGCUACGAGUUUUGGAUGGUCCAAUUUCUAGGCAACUCCUGUAACUUUUCGGGUCUUUAUAUCACUAUUUCUAUGUUUCCUAAAUCUCAAUGCCUUUCACUAGCUUUUGUCUUUGAUAUGUUCUAUUUUUUACCUUCUAAAAAAACAGGUUAGUUCCCGAAUGCCUAUCCUGUAACUAUUAUUUUUGCUUUUUCUCCGCCUCUGCUACGAACGUUGUUUUCUCCUGCAGCUUUGUUAGUUUUUUGCAGCUUUGCUUUAGUGAACCUCCUUUAAUCAGCUUAAACAAGUUUUAAUGGAUUUUCAUCAGUUUAGAUUGGCAUUGUUUAGGGCUUGGAUUUAUUUUAGAAUAUGGCUCUAAUUGCAUUUUUACUUAUAUGCUCUACGACGUUACCUAUAAGAACUUUCUUGAAGGUUUUUCUUGGUUUCACAGAUGUGCACAUGUGUCUACAUUAAUUUGUUUGGUUUUCAAGCAUAUUGCACUGUUUUUUUCCCUCUUUUGGAACUUUCUUUAAGGUUUUGUUUGGUUCAGAAAAUCCCAACAUGUAAAGGCUAUUCAAUAUUUACUUUUGCCUCAAAAGAACCAAAACUGAUUCAAUCAGUUUGCAUACUUUGUCACUAGAGAAAAAAGGAGUUAAUAUCAUGAACAUUUCUUAAUACGCUUGAUGUUUUGGUACCGGGCGGUGAUGUAAUUAUAAAUGCUAUGACACUUGCUUGCUUUAGAAACUGAUGUGCAUGCUCUUUGUUGCUUGUCACUUUCCGCUACUAAUAAUUUGUGUGCUCAUCAAUAGUACAGUUACUGGCGAUGAAAACUUGAAUGCUGCGGUGAUGAUGACAGUUUCUAUUAAUGUUUGAAGGAUGGCAUGACUUGCAAAAGUUGUGCAACCCCACGUUAAUUGGAAACCAAAUGAGCCAUACUACUAACGGCAUUCCAUUUUGAUCAUCCAUUGAAAUGUUUGCUACUAAGGUUUAUUUUUUUACACUGCUUAAGGGUUCUCGAAAUACCUUUGUUGUGCUUGUUCUGGUAACAUCUGCAAUUUGCGGUUGGAGUUUUGAAUUCGUUAGAGCAUUGAAAUUCAUGUAUUUUAUGGAUUGUGAAUUUAUGAAUUGAUACCACUGUCUAAUUAUAUGGGUAAUGAAUGAGCUAUGAUGAGAUAGAAAUAUAUCAAGCAAGUUUGACGGCACAACAACAAAUCUGGUUUCUGUCUAUAUCGUCUCAACUCUAUCUUUUGUUCUUGCAAAAUUACCUAUCAGCAAGCGGAUAAAAAAGUAUUCUUCUGCUUAACUAUUUGACCAUAUUACUUUACAAAAUUUCAAAUUCACAAAAUUGAUACAUUUUCAAUUAGUGCACUGUAAUAAAUUACUGUUGUAUUAACUUCCCGCCGCAACGCACAUGCGCAGAACAUGCAACUACAUGAAACAGACAAAACAAAGAUAAGCAGCAGAGGUUAGUCUAAUAAUUACUUAGUUGUAGGAUCAAAAUGGAGUGUCGUUAGUAGUAUGGCUCAUUUGAUUUCCAAUUAAUGUGGGGUUGCACAACUUUUGCAAGCUAUGCCAUCCUUCAAACAUUAAUAGAAACCGUCAUCAUCGCCGGCACCGAAUUCACAUAAAGCUUGUUCAAGCAGCAUUCAAGUUCUCAUCUCCGGUCACUAUACUACAUAUCAGCACUCAAAUUAGUAGUAGCGAAAAGUGACAGGAAACAAAGAGCAUGCAACAACAUAAAAUAGAGGCGACAAAGAUCUAGUCACAGGAUCGAAAUGCAACGUCAUUAGUCUACAGCUCAUUUAGCUCUAAUGCAAUAGGCAAGCAACAACAGUCUGCACCAACAACACGCCACACCUUUACAUGUUGGGACUUUCCGAAACCAAACAAAACCUUAAAGAAAGUUCCAAAAGACAGAUAAAAAAUAGCAAUAUACUUGAAGACCAAACAAAUGUAGACACACGUGCACAUUUGCGAAACCAAGCAAAAUCUUCAAGAAAGUUCUUAUAGGUAACGUCGUAGAGCAUAUAAGUAAAAAUACCACACACAUACAUAUACACACACACAUUGAAUGCAAAGAGGGGUAUUUAAAAUCUUGUAUUCAAUUCUUUGAUGCAACUAAGAAAUGAACACAAACAUAAGUAUGAAACUUAUAAAAAUGCAUCAGAAAUAAAGGGAAGUACCUAAUUAGGUACUUGGACUGAAAAUUACAAAUAAUGUAACUAAGUCAUGAGAGCAUGGACAUAAAAGGAGAACUGGUAGAGAUUUACAAAGUUGACUGAACACGUAGUAAUAAUACAUAUAUACAUACAUGUAAAGCUGCACACAAACACACACACACACACAUAAAGCUUCCAAAUGAAUUACUACCUAUACAUAUACCAAUGGUACAAAUGAAUUACAAUGCAGUUGUGACUUCAUUAGGCAUUAAAAGGUUGUUAAGAUAAGCAUGUUAUGAAAAAAGAACUGCUUCAUGUAAAUUUGUGCAUGAAGUGACAAUGUAGGAGUCGAUUUUGAGUAAAACCUGUACAUAUACCAUUAGUAAUUACAAAGUUGAGCAAUUUACAAAUUUGAGCACUUUACGUAUACUUGUACAUACACCAAUGGUACAAAUGAAUUACAAUGCAGUUGUGACUUCAUUAGUCGAUAAAAGGUUGCUAAGAUAAACAUGUUAUGGAAAAAGCACUGCUCCAUGUAAAUUUGUGCAUGAAGUGACAAUGUAGAAGUCAAUUUUGAGCAAAACCUGUACAUAUACCAUUAGUAAUUACAAAGUUGAGCAAUUUACAAAUUUGAGUACACUAUGUAUACUUGUACAUACACCAAUGGUACAAAUGAAUUACAAUGCAGUUGUGACUUCAUUAGGCGAUAAAAGGUUGUUAAGAUCAAUAUGUUCUGGAAAAAGGACUGUUCCAUAUAAAUUUGUGCAUGAAGUGACAAUGUAGAGUCAAUUUUGAGCAAAAUCUGUACAUAUACCAUUAGUAAUUACAAAGUUGAGUGAUUUACAAAUUUAAGCACUCUACAUAUACCUGUACAUACACCAAUGGUAUACAAUGCAGGAGCGAAAAUGCAGAAAUGAAAUUGAGCAAAACCUGUACAUAUACCAUUAUUAAUUACAAAGUUGAACAAUUUACAAAUUUGAGCACUUUACAUAUACCAUUGUUAGAUAUAAUCCAAUAUAAACAAUUACAUAUAAUUCAAUAUUAAUAAACAGCUUAAUAGGUUUCUCUAAGUAUCACUGGCCUAGGCAGCGAAAAAAUAAAGAAGCUAAUAUUUUAAACAACUGAGGAAUGACAAUAGGAAAACUAUAAUCUAAGGCAUUUAGUCCGAGCUGAAUAUUGGUAAGGAAUUAGAACUAUCUCUAUCAUGAGGAGGAAAUUUAAUACUACUCCAACAAUGUAACGACCUAGCCCACUAGCAACAAUAACUCGUUGGGCCCAACCACCCGCCCAAAAUGCUUAAGCUCAGUUAUUAUUACUAGUGUUUAAGUCUCUUAUAAACCUAAUGACAACCCCAUUCCCCUCCUAUGGGGAACUAUUGGGGUGUCACAGACUCCCCCCCGUUAAGGCCCUGACGUCCUCGUCAGUCCAAUCACACACACAGUCCAAAAUCACCAGAUGAUUUGAGACUCGUCUAGCUAGCCUUCCAUCUAGACCUUGGCUCAGCCGAGACUCGCCACACAUUUCCGGCUGGUGAAUCGGCUCUGAUACCAAAUGUAACGACCCAGCCCACUAGCAACAAUAACUCGUUGGGACCAACCACCGGCCCAAAAUGCUUAAGCCCAGUUAUUACUACUAGUGUCUAAGUUUCUUAUAAACCCAAUGACAAUCCUAUUCCCAUCCGAUGUGGGAAUAUUGGGGUGUCACAAACAAACCUAGAAUCAAGGUAACAGCACCAUAGUUUUGGUUAAUAUACCUCACAACAUCACAAAACAUAUAUAUUACUGUAUACUAUAUGACUAAGUAAUUUUUUAAACCCAAACAACACCUUACCAUAUAUGCAACACCAAUAGAGAAGAACACACAAUUCUAAUUGUCUUUCUACUGUGCAGAACAUGCAACUACAUGAAACAGACAAGACAAAAAUAAGCAGCAGAGGUUAGUCCAAUAAUUACUUAGUUGUAGGAUCAAAAUGGGAUGCCGUUAGUAGUAUGGCUCAUUUGGUUUCCAAUUAAUGUAGGGUUGCACAACUUUUGCAAGCUAUGCCAUCCUUCAAACAUUAAUAGAAACCGUCAUCAUCGCCGGCACCGUAUUCACAUAAAGUUUGUUCAAGCAGCAUUCAAGUUCUCAUCACCAGUCACUGUACUAUUUAUCAGCACUCAAAUUAGUAGUAUCGGAAAGUGACAGGAAACAAACAGCAUGCAACUACAUAAAAUAGAGCUGACAAAGAUCUAGUCACAGGAUCAAAAUGCAACGCCCUUAGUACUACAGCUCAUUUGGAUCUAAUGUAACAGGCAAGCAACAACAGUCAGCACCAACAACACGCCACACCUUUACAUGUUGGGACUUCCCGAAACCAAACAAAAUCUUAAAGAAAGUUCCAAAAGACGGAAAAAAAUUGCAAUAUACUUGAAAACCAAACAAAUGUAGACACACGUGCACAUUUGCGAAACCAAGCAAAAUCUUCAAGAAAGUUCUUAUAGGUAACGUCGUAGAGCAUAUAAGUAAAAAUACCACACACAUACAUAUAUAUACACACACAUUGUAUGCAAAGAGCGGGGUAUUUAAAAUCUUGUAUUCAUUUCUUUGAAGCAACUAAGAAAUGAACACAAACAUAAGUAUGGCACUUAUACAAAUGCAUCUGAAAUAAAGGGAAGUACCUAAUUAGGUACUUGGAGUUAAAAAUUACAGAUAAUGUAACUAAGUCUUGGGAGCAUGGACAUAAAAGGAGAACCGGCAGAGAUUUACAAAGUUGACCAAGAACAUGUAGUAACAAUACAUAUAUAUAUAUACAUGUACAGAUGCAGACAAACACACACGCGCACAUAAAGCUUCCAAAUGAAUUACUACCUGUACAUACACCAAUGGUACAAAUGAAUUACAAUGCAGUUGUGACUUCAGUAGGCGGUAAAAGGUUGUUAAGAUAAACAUGUUAUGGAAAAAUGACUGCUCCAUAUAAAUUUGUGCAUGAAGUGACAAUGUAGGAGUCAAUUUUGAGCAAAACCUGUACAUAUACCUUUAGUAAUUACAAAGUUGAGUAAUUUACAGAUUUGAGCACUUUAUAUGUCACGCCCCGGGACCGAUACCAAUUUGGGCCGGCCCGAGCACGUCAAACAGACGCCAAACGGACAGAGUUUCCCCUAUCCGCCCAAGGCUCAUCACACGUACAAUUUAAAAUAAGAAGUGCACUAGCGGAAACAUACAAAUACGGCUUACACAAGGGUAAGCAAUAGCCACGAGUGAAAGAAAGGAAUUUAAACAUCUACACAAGUAAUAUGAUUCUUUUUAGAUCACAUACAUUGCAUAUAACUAACUUGUACAUCAUAAAGUUUUUACAUUCUUUCAUCAUUUCUUUUACAUCACAUUUACCUCAAAAUGAACAUUGCAUCCUUUUCUUUACAUCACUAGUCAUCAAAUGCAAAAGAUGAACAUAGGGUACUCUACUAAUAAAAUGUAAACCCAACUCAACUCUGGUGGCCUUUGUCUAAGGCGCGAUAUCUUUACCUCGGUCGCUCGCCGGCUCGCUCGGUCCCGGCUCUGUGGAAAUAGUGGGGUGAGAACUACAACAAAGUUCCCAGUGGAUUCGGCCUCAACAUCACCGACUUUCCCACUAGGACUAACUCAGGCAUAAUAGAAAGGAAAAGCUGUAUAUUGUAACCAAUCUAUAUCAUGAUGCUAAUAUGCCUGAACAAUAAGCAGGAAAUAUGCUCAACAUUAAUAUAUGCAAAUUAUGCAAAUUCUUUUGUUCUUUACACUUUACACUUUGUCUUUGUUCUUUAUUCUUUGCUCUUUGUUCUUUGUUCUUUGCUCUUUGUUCUUUAAUCUCAAGGCUAAUCCAGGGGGUUCGCCACAUUAACUUGCUUCACAUUAAGUCCAUCAUCGCAGGAACUCACCCGCUAGGACCGUCCUCGGGUUUACUCCAACCCGUGAUGCAAAACUCCGGAGCACAUCGCUCGAGGGGGAGCGACCGCCCUCGAGCACGGAACUCAUAACAAGUAUGAUCGAAUCCUUAACUCAAAGGAUUGUAUGUUCAAUCUUGACUUUACACUAACUCUAGUGUUCUUUACAUCACUUUAUGUUGCUACUCUAGCAAUCAUUGUUCUUUACCUUUCUUUGCUUUUGCUAACUCUAGCAUUCAUGUUCUUUACAUUUCUUUGCUUUUGCUAACUCUAGCAUUCAUGUUCUUUACAUUUCCUUUACUUUUGGCUAUCUUUAGCAUUCACGUUCUCUACGUCCCAUUUUGCUUUCACUUUAGUCAUGAUCAUUAUUCUUUACAUCACAUUGAUUCUUUGCCUCACACUAGCUCUAGUGUCACUUUACUUUAUAUUAUCAAAUGCCACUCUAUCUAUGUCUCAUUGUGUCACUCGGUUCUUUCGCCUCACCUUGGUUCUCACACUUUCUCUCAUGCAUACAUAUAUAGGGUUUUUGACAUUCAUAAGGUUCUCAACCAUCACAUUAUGCAAGUUGUGCUCACAAUCAUGCAACAUCACAUCUUUAUCAUUACUUUACCCUAAAAUGCAUGCAACAAUAUAUAUACAUAUGCUCAAUUGAAUGACACAUUAGGCAUAGAGGGAACUUCAACAAGUUUGAAAAGCACCACCCACCUCGUAGGUUCUCAAAGGUGCUCCGAUGAUUUUCUCAUGAUUCUUAGACCCUUCGUUCUUUACCUGCGGCAAAACGAAGCCCUAUUAGGCCAUUUUGCCCACAACUCUCUAUAGACUUUUCGUAACGUCAAUCCGAGCGCACCAACGCGUCGGAAAUACCCCCAAUUAGGUUUCUAGAGGGUCAAUUGCACUUUAGAAACAUCAUGAGCAAAAGCCCCAAUUUGGUGCCCUAGCUCCAAUACUCAUGUCAAACCUAGGGUUUGAUCUCAUUGGGAAGCAAAAGUAGCUUCAUUAUACUCUAAAGAGUCCAUCUAAACCAUUCUUAGCUUUACUAAAACCCUAUUUUGGGUUUCACCAUGAGAGGAGGUUGAAGCUUGCAUCUCAAGCUUCACCAUGGUUUUGAUCUCUAAAGAAGCAAAAAGAAAGCUUCAAAGACCCUAGAGAUUAUAUAAAAAUCAUUUUUACACUAAUCCAAACCCUAGUUUGGAAUUUAACAUGAGAAGGGGCAAAGCUUACCUCUAAGCUUGCUCCUUUCUUGCACUAGAGAGGAAGAAGAUGAAGUUGCUUCACUCCAAUAGCUUCUUCUCCACUUUCUUCUUCUUCUUUUCCUUCCUUUCCUUGUCUUCUUCUUCUCCUUCUUUGUCUUCUAGAGAAAGAAAGAGAGAUGAGAGUGUGAAAGGGAGUGAAAUGAGAGAAUAGCCCUCAUAUCCCUCAUACUAUACUCUAUAGGUUGCAAAAUUGCGGCUAAACCCCUCAACUUUCGCUUUAAUACACUGCCCGGACUGGGCAGAUUUCGUGCUCGGGGACCAGUCUCCCCGACUUGGGACCGGUCCCAAACAGCUCUCCCUGCAGCUGCGCAGGGCUUUCCGCGAUGCAUCCGGUCUCUCCUUGGGGGACCGGUCUCUCGGGGACCGGUCUCUCCCCGCAGGGACCGGUUCCCAAGAGCUACCCUUCUGGAACUUAGCCAAAUUUUUGGCUGUCUCAUUUCUUGCGCGUUCGAGGACCGGUCUCUCCCACCGGGGACCGGUCUCUCCAGCAGGGACCGGUCCCCGAGAGCCCAAAAACUGCAGUUUGCAGAUUUUGAUUCUUAGCUCUCGAAAACCUUCCACAACUCGCUUUUACUCGUUUUAACACCUUCGGACUUUCCGAAGUGUACCAUCCUCGCACUUUGGUCAAUUUGACUAAAGUUCGAUAUUUUUUUUCCGAAUUUUUGGUAUAUUAUAUUAUAUAUACCUGUACAUACACCAAUGGUACAAAUGAAUUACAAUGCAGUUCUGACUUCAUUAGACAGUAAAAGAUUGUUAAGAUAAACAUGUUAUGCAAAAAGGACUGCUCCAUGUAAAUUUGUACAUGAAGUGACAAUAUAGGAGUCAAUUUUGAGCAAAACCUGUACAUAUACCAUUAAUAAUUACAAAGUUAAGCAAUUUACAGAUUUGAGCACUUUACAUAUAACUGUACAUACACAAAUGGUAUACAAUGCAGGAGUGAAAAUGCAAGAAUGAAAUUGAGCAAAACCUGUACAUAUACCAUUAUUAAUUACAAAGUUGAGCAAUUUACAAAUUUGAGCACUUUACAUGUACCAUUGUUACCCUAUAAUUGAGCAUAAAGUAAAAGGGCUUAUGUAAAUAACAAAAAACUUUAUAUUAGAAUAUUAUAUUACUUAACUAUUUUGGAAAGAAACAUAAAAAUGUUAUCUUUUUGAAAGACAAUAAAUACGCACCACACACAAACAGCUCCUUAAGUAAUUACAAUGUAGUUGCAACUUCAUUAGGCAGCACAAGGUUAGAUCCGUAUGAACGGUCUGGGGCCGGGUUACAGCACGAUACGAAUAUAAUAGCACACAUAUCGGGCCGGCUUGCCCCGAGCCUCCGGACUAUGCUGGGUCGCUCUUCUGUGGCCUGAUGGUCAGACACAACACGGCCUGAAACGAGCCUAGGCGUGCCGAGCCCACUUGGGCUGUGCCAGCCAGGCCAGCACGGCCCGAACCCUUGGGCCUUAGGGAAUGAGCUCCACUACUACAGAUACAGGAUUUAGUGGCGACAAAUGUCGCCACCAUAGCCAAAAUUGUCGCCACGAAAAACGUUUUGGCGGCGACAAUUCGUCGCCGCAUGCCGCCGCCUAAAACCCCGUCGGUAAAACUAUUUGGUGGCGACAAAUUGUCGCCGCUAAAAGUUAGAUAAUUAGCGGCGACAUGCUGUCGCCGCUAAAAGUUAGAUAAUUAGUGGCGGCAUGUUAUCGUCGUGAAAACCCUAAACCGGGACCGAAGUAUUUGGUGGCAACAAUUUGUCGCGGCGAAAAGUUAGAUAAUUAGUGGCGGCGUGCUGGUGCCAUGAAAACCCUAAAUAGUUUUAUGGUGGCGACAAUAAUUUGCUAAAAAAUAACCUAUAAUUAUAAAAAAAUUUUAUUCUUAAAUUUUAACCUUUAAAAGAAAAGCCAAUCAGAGAUGGAGUGUUCAACAGCCAGGUUUUUGCAAAUAAUGAAUUUCUUACCUUUCUCUAAGUUCCAAAAUAAAUACUCGUUUCAAGAGACGAUAUGGAAUGUUCUCAGAUGAUAAAGUUUAGUGCAUUAAGUCUGCUCAUUCUACUGCUUCCUAAAUGAAAGAGGAUUGCAAAGCACCUGGCUCCAUAUUACAAAAAUUUUUGUAGGACAAACCAUGCACCACGGCCCAAGGGAAAAAGCAUUACUUUGAAACUAACAAACACCUCACAAUUUCCCAAAAAUGCAUCUAAAAUGCAAACAUACAUUACGGAACCAAAAGCUCAUACAGAAUUGAUCUAUAAAAUCAUAUUACAAGAACACCUUCUGACUUUGCAAGAAUAUUAAUUCAUAAUACUUUGACAAGUCAACAAGCGCAUAAAGAAUUAGUUGGCAUCUAUGAGAUUAUUAGCAGCUAAUGUAAAAUAGCAAAAUAGGCAUUAAUAUUAUAAAUUAAGCUUUUGCAGAAUUUUCUACAAUACAAUCUUCGAAAUAAUUAAGCAAAGUGGACAGUCCAUUAUAUUUAUGGCACUACUUCCUGCAGCCAAUGACGCAUAAAAAGGGAGUUUAGUUAUUUAGUUGAGCCAAUCCAAACAUUUAAUACACAUCAAGUUAAAUGAACUGAAUUUUCAUCAAGGACAUACUCUGUAACUUCUUGUUCCAAAGCUCCUGAACCUUCAUCAGUUGAUCUUCUACUUUGUUCUAGAAUAAUAAAGCAAAGGCCUUUGAAAUUUUUGAAAGAAUGCCUGAAUGAAAAAGAAAUCACUUAACAAAUGCCAUUUGAGAUUUCAGGGAAGUCCACGCUACCUUGCAUAUCCAAGAUAUCGCUGAAAGUUUCUGCAGACCCUCCUCCAAUGUCAUAACUGAAGUUUGCUGCAAGACAGUGCAGGCAUCCCAGAAUCCACCUUCUUGUUCUAUGGAUGAUAGCAGGAUAUCCAAUUCUUUUGCCAUAUCAUUAACCUGAUCAGGCCAAAUGUAAUAGUUAUUUCCAUAUCGUUGAUGAGAAAACAUCUCGCCUACUAAGCAAAAAGAAAAACAAGUAUGGACUAUUUUUUACCCAAAUUCCAUCAGAAUAGUUGAAAUUUUGCACCUUCAAAGUUCAAGCCUCAAGAGCAAUAACAAGUAGAGUUGAAAGAGUGUCAGGAAUCAGGAUAUGGGGCUUAUCGGAGAGAGCACACAGGAUAUCUAUUAACAUAAGUACACAUUAGUCUAUAGAAAGGUAAGGAGAGAAAGAGCAUGUGGUCUAUCUGGUAACACAGAGUAAGCGCAGCAAGUUUAAUCACUUUUAUGAUCCAUAAAACCAAAAUCUUCUAAACAUGAAGUAUUAUUUCAGUCAACAUAUAUCCUCACUUAUCAAAGCCAAACUGGAAAAUGGUAUAUAUUACAUGAUCUGUUACUAACUAUUUAGGAAGGUUAAAAGAAGAGCCAAUCAGAGAAGCCAGGCCAUAUUAAAAACAUUAACAUAAAUAAACCUUAAUUAAAAUCAACUCAUAAUCUAUAAGUUUGCACAAAAUCUUCAUAAGAGAAACCACUUCUGGUGGUCCUGAAGCUAUAGCCAUCAGAGUACCAAAAUGUUCGUCAUAACAACAUCUUUCGACAAGUUCGAAAACUGAAAACAGCAUAACAAGGAACUAAUAAGUGUUGGUUAAAUAUGCGAAGUCAACAACUGAUAUACUGCUUACUUUUCCCAAUUUUCUAUCUUCUACUAUGUCCAGUGCUACAUAUUUCACAUUCAACCUAUGCAUAAAUAAACUCUAUAAAUUCUUAAUGCACUGCCAAAAUUAAAACAAAUUUAGGUUCUUGAACCCACCUCAUUUUGAUUUCCACAAUAUACCAACCAUAGUUUCCUCUUUAAAUGUUUCCAUUCAUCUUGCACUUGCUUACAUGUUAAAACAAAUCUCAAUCCCUCUCCAUGUGGUAUGUUUUCAAAUGACUCAUCUAAACUCUUCUUUAACAACUAAACCUUUUUACACUCUUUUCUACUUACAGUAUCAGACAAUACUUUUAGCAUCUUAACUAGAAGAGAAGGACAUAUCAGGAUUACUUGAAAAAUUUAACUACUAGUUUACCAGUAAGUGAAGAAUUAAAAAGCUGAACAAAAAGGCCCUUUACCUAACUCAUCAGAGUUUUUCAAAGUACUUGCUUGCAACACAUCAGUUGGUUCACUUGAUGGCUUACUUCCCAAAUGUAUACCCUUCUCUACAUAGCAAAGCAUGCAAAAUUGCAUCAGCUACAGUUUCUAUGCUUUCUUUCCAAGUUUAAAUAUUUUCAAAAGCAGAAGAUAGUAACUAUUACUACCAGCACAGGGAGUUAUUGGAGCAAAGAGAUCAUUGGAGUACAAAACAAAAGGCAACAACAAGAGCUAAUUCAAUUCUGAGAAGGAUCACACUUGCGUCAGAUAGAUAACAACCUAGGGAUCAAAAGCUAGGACAUCUCAAAUAUCAAAAACGUAUGAAAUUAUGAAAAUGCAUAUUGGUAAAUCCUAAAAGCAGUAUUAUACAUAUGAAAUUAUGAAAAUGCAUAUUGGUAAAUCCUAAAAGCUAGGACAUCUCAAAUAUCAAAAACAUCACUAUAAAGAAACAAGUUACAAAGCAAGGCCUCAACUUGCUAGUCUCUCCUAGAAAAUUAAUGACAAUGAAGUUAGUACCCAGAUACUAUGAUGUCUAGAGAAAUACACCAUGUAUACCUCUGUAGCACACAGAUUUGUAUAUAUCUCCGAUGCAUAAAGGCUGCACAUUUGAGGAUUGGCUUUGUCAUUAUCAAUAUCUACAAUGCCCAUGAUAGCUGAAUCCCCUGCAUCAUUAGAAACCUAUCUUUUAGCUGCAAACCCAAUUGCAUUUCACAUAAAAAUUUACAACAAACAAGGAAAUGCACCACUAGGAUUUAACUUAAAUUCCCCUUCACCGCGAGUUAAAGCACCUUAACCAGCUUCAAAAGUUGCCCCAAAUCACAGUUAUAAGGUGUGUACAAGCACCCAAAACUACAUUAUUACACUUAUGUAAUCACAUAAUUGAGGUUAAAAUCUCACUUAUUUAGAUAGAACUCUCCUGACAUAAGCUGGGUACAAAGAACCCGAAAUCACACUCAACUCUACCAUUAAAGCAUCAAGCUACUAGGUAGUUAGGUUAAUUACCUUAGCAAACCUCCACCCAGCUACCUGCUGUGUUAGAGCUGCGAAACACUUCCCAAACACCUUCUUCACCCUUCUACAAUAGCUCCAAGGUCUCCCAAGACAGCUAGCAUCAAAGAAGGAGAAGAAAAAAUAGGCUAAAACCCUUAAUUCUAGUUAGAGAGAGAAAAACCUAGAGAGAGAGAGAGUGGGAGAGGUGCCAAACCCUUCCCCUGAGCUCCAGUAACUCUCAGGUAACUUCAGGAGUCGAGCUGGCCCCUGUGGAGAUAAGAUCAACAGCCAAAAGACCAAAGUCUCCCUGCUGCCACGCAGCAGUUUACAUUUGGUACCUGAUGUUUCCUGCUACACAAUAACAUACGCCUAUACAGCUAAGACCUAACUUGCAACAUAUCACUUUGAUUAAAAAAUUGAAUGAAUGGCGUCAUGAAGGCAUGAGCAUCUAGCAGUCUAUCUUAAUUUUUACUACUUAUCUCUGUAUUUCAAAUUGAGGUGCUUUACAGCUUUGGCACAUGCACAACAUAUGUAUCUCAAUCGGCACCCCUCAAGAGCAUUAUUGCAUGGUGGCCCUAAGCCACCAGCACACUAUUGUCUCCUUUAAGACUUAAUCUUGCAACUUCUCUUCUCAAGAAUUUGCAAGAAACACCUUUAUGUUCCAAAUUUUUUUAGUUAUUUCAUUAUUUAAUAGCAGGCCUAACUUAAAGUUAAACUUGAACAAGAUCAGAAGAUUUCGUGAACUCAAAAUUUCCAUUGCUGACCUAUGUAUUCUCACUACUUAUAUACAAAAGCCAUCAACAAAUUUUGGCAACCUUCAUGAAAGUGCAAACUAUACAUUCUAUUCUUGGAAAUUUUUUUUCUUUCCACCAAUCCUAUAAAUUUUCGUAUAAAAUUUGUGUCGACAAUUCUAGCCUUAAUUCUACCCAAAAAAAACCGUGGAAUUCAACAAAAAAUAGAAUAAAAAUGGGAGAACAUGAUAGAGAGUUUUGGUUUAAAAUAAUUUAAUCAAUAGACAAAUGAAUGGCAGAUCUUCUUCAAUUAAUGAGCAAGAAAGAAAGCACAAAGCUGCAUUUUUGUUGAAAAUUGAACAUCAUCGAACCAAUGUAUGACAUUGCAAAUGGCCAGUAGACAGAAAAACUAAAUUAGUAAAAAGAGUCACUUUAUGAGAGUUGCCAUGUCCAGUAGACAGGAAAAGAAAAAAUGAAAUGCUAUCUGACAACUUUUUCAAGGGGUAAAAGCAGAACUACAAGAAGAGGUGAUUAAUCACACUUAUACCAAAAAAAAAAGCAGUACAUAUAAAAAGAAAUCGCCAUAAUUUAUUGGGUGAAGUUAACAAUCACAUUACAUGCUAAAAAUACCUUUGAGUGCAAGAAUAGAUGCCAAAAGCUUCACUGUGUCUCCUGAGAACAUCGGCGGAGACUCCUACGAAGGACGACAACUCGUUAAACUCCUCAUUUGCGCCGCCCCCUUCGUGAACGACAUGCCAUAAUUCCCCCCUUAGGUAAUGUAAAGGUAAUGUAACGUCACUAUAUAUUAUUAGUCAACUAUUACAUUAUUUCUGCAUUGAUUAUAAAUUAAUAUUUAGUCAACUAAAUUAUGUUACAGAAUUUGAUUGUAAUAAUUUUAAAAUUUAAGCUAAAGAUUAAAACAAAUUAAAAUUUGCCACGGACUUUAAAGUUUGAAGACCAAAUGCACAAUUUAUGUACCAUUAUUUUUAAGGCCAAACCAUGGCAUCUCGAGCAUCAGAAUUAUGAGGUCGGAGAUUUGAAUCCCUGUUUCAGUAAAGUACGAGAAUCGCUAACUGAUUCAAAAAUCAACGACGCCAAGCAAAAUCAAAACUUCAAAAACAUGCAUAGUGGUCCCGAAACAACCCACAUUGUUCAGAUCAAUUCCGCACUUCCUUUUUUUUUUAAAAAACACUAAUUUAUUUAAGUUAAAGAAGCCAAAGAAAAAAAAAACUCUUAACACAGGAAUUUCAUCAAACAGGUACCAUGCGUGUAUGAGGCGCGCCCCAAACGCCACUGCUCAGCACCCAUAUAUCUCCUUGAGCUUCGCCACGGCCGAUUCGUCGAGCGAGUACUACAAAAAACAAAAGCAGGCACAAAAGAAGUAAAAAAAAAAAAAGGUUGGGGGAAAGAGAUUAGGGUUCGCGUGUAGGUAGGGUUUUGGGGGGGGGGGGGAGGACGGGGACCUUGUUGAGGACCCAGGUGGAGUGGGCGUAGGCGCGGCGGAGGAGGUCGGAGAGGGAGGUGGAGGGAUCGGCGUCGCGGUAGUUGACGAAGUUCUCGCGCGCGUACUUGGCGUAGUACGCGCGCGUCUCCGGGGGCAGGCGCCGCACGAGGCGCCGCACGAGAUCCCGGCCUUGAGCCGGAGCGAGGCGGAGGCGGAGCCCCCAUCUUCGUUGGCGAAGCGAGACCUACGAGGGCGGAGAACGCCGUCGUCCUCCGCGGCGCCGAUGGAUUUGGCGGAGUUGACGACGGGGUUUCGAGGAUGGCGCGGGUGGAGGCGAGGAUUAGAGGCCUCCAUCGUCGCUCGACCAAGGCUAGAGAGCGAAAAAAUUUCGGGGUUUCGAUUGGAAAUUAGGGUUUUAGCACGAUGAAGAGGGAAAGAGAGGAUGAUGAGAGCGUACGAAGAGAGAGAGAGAGAGAGAGAGAGAGGGUGGGCGGAGAGGAGGAGGCGAAAGAGAGAAAUUGAGAGGGAGAUGAAAGAAGAUAACUUUCUGAUCCAAAAAGGCGGAGGGAAUUAAGGGCGGGAUGUCUGGAAAUACUCCGCGCGACAUUUAUUAAAUAUUGGCGGCGACCUAUAUUUGUCGCCACUAUUGUUUAUGUAUUGGCGGCGACAUUUAUUUAUCGCCACCAUUAUUUAUAUAUUAGCGGCGAUAUUUAUUUGUCGCCACCAUUGUUUGUGUAUUGGCGGCAACAUUUAUUUAUCGCCACCAUUGUUUGUGUAUUGGCGGCGACAUUUAUAUGUCGCCACCAUUAUUUGUGUAUUGGCGGCGACAUUUUUAUGUCGCCACCAUAUUUUCUACAUUCGUGGCGACAACUGUUGUCGCCACGAAAAAGUUGCCGCCAAAUUUGCUUUUUCUUGUAGUGCUCCCAUAGAGGAGGACUCUCCUUCCAAGAUCUAACCUUAACCUCGGGAGGAGAGAAAAUCCUAUUUCAUUUUUUUUAAAAAAAAUAAUGCAAAUUUAUUUAUUUUUUACAAAAAUUAAAUAUUUACUAUAUUAUAAUUAUUUUUAUAAAUUUUUAAUGAUUUAAUCAAAUAUUUAUUUAAAUAAAAGUAUUUAUUAUUUAUGUUUUUAAAUUUUAUACUAAUUUUUUAAAAAAAAUUAAAAAAUAAAUACUUUAAGAGGCAUGCCCGAAACACGGCCCGGCACGACCCGUGCCUUCUCAGUCGGCGGCUAGGCAGUUCAGGCCCGGCAUGGCCCGACCCGAAAUUGAAAUCAGGCCCGACCGGCCCCUAGCCCAUUUCUGCCCGGCUAAUGUGGGCCGAGUCGGGCCAGCACGACUAUCACGCCCCGGGGUCCCUUUUGGAUUUAAAAACGCAGCGAAAGUACUAAAAUUUUUUUUAAAAAAAAAAACCUAACCCCAGGGUAUGCCAGAUCCGCCACAAAUACAGGAAAUUCACUGUUCACACGGACAGAGUCUCCCCUGUAUUUGCAUGGCGUCGCACAAGUACAACAAGUAAACCGGAUACAAUCACAACUAAAUGAAUAUAGAGAUAACUAUACAUUCAUACAUUCACCAUUCAUAUCACAGAUUACAUUCAAUGUCUAAACAUAAAUCCACAGAAACCUUUUGAAAACUGUUCCCUACACGGAAACUUUUAUCGUUUAAAAACGCUACCACGAGGGGUAGAAAAUUUUUUAUUUACGAAAACCAUGAAUCCUUUUUAUUACAUCAUAAAGCCAACUGAAAUCUCAGAUAUUCAAAUAAUAUAACAAAACUGAACGAGGAUAAUUGUCUAAGUUAUUUAUUUAAGGAAGCAGGGUAAAGAAAUAACCGACACGGGACGGAGCUCUAUCGUAUGCUAGACACGCUCCUCACCAGUUGUCCUACUCUGACCUGCGACGUCACCUGUAAUGGGAGCGAGGGGUGAGAACAUGUAAACAUGUCUCCCCUCCCAGUGGGUACCGCAAGCCGAAGAGGGCGAGGGGUACUCACUAGUCACGGAGAACAACAAAGGUAUAGAUAGAGGUAAUAUAGUAGCCAUGAUAAACAAGUAACGAGAUGUAUAUAUGUAUAAAACACUGCAGCUACUGUAUGCAUGCGUCAACCGAACGACAGUCUAAAAAUACCCAAUCUGAAAACUGCCCUAUUGGUCCGCAGACCUCAGGCCCAUACCGACUGCCACUCUACCUGUGUAUGACCCAGUCCUGACCGCUGGGCUCACAUGCUGCAUAUAACCCAGUCCUGACCGCUGGGCUCACGGGCAGGCGCAUCAAACCACUUUUUCGAAAAAGAACACCCUCUUGCGGUGGAUCAGACUACUGGUGUUCGUGAAAUGCGUACGAGUCUCGGGCGAUCAAUGCUGAUAUGCUCAAUAGCUAACCGUCGGCAACCAGCCGACAAUCCUGCCCCUCAGGGCACACCGACCAUAUAGGUCAUCAAGUAUCCAACCGACCAAGUAGGUCACGAUAAUACUGGAGUAAACCGACCGAACAGGUCACAAUAUGGAAUAUGAGAACCGACCAACCAGGUCACAGAUAUCACAUGCAGAUAUAUCUACUCUACUCCUACUCAUGAUGCUAAACAUGGAAACAACUGAGUAGAGUAAUACAGGAACAACAUGGGUGCAAGGCUCAAUAUAUGUACUACGCAAUAUAAACAACAAGGGUGAAGGGAACGUCACCGAGCGUGCACCACUGUACCGACUUCGGGUCGAAAUACCCACCUGUACAAAUAUGAAACUGGUCUCUCGAUUGCGAAGUCAGAGCAACUGAACCUACGAAGGGUCCACCGGGUUAGUAUCUAACCCAAGAAUACCAAUUGCUAACAAACCCCCCUAAUGAAACCACAGGGAAUCAAUUUCCCAAAACCGAUUGCCGAACACGCCGGAAGUCCCGAAAACUGCACCGGAACUCCGCCGGAAUCCACGAACUGUCCCGGAAAGCACCGACUCGUGUUACGAGUCACCCGCUGCCACAAAACACCAUUAUUCAUGGUUCUUGGCAGCAAACACAUCGCCUCUAAUCGAAACGAUUGUCGUCGGAUAAUCGUUCCGAUCCGGGUUCCCGAAAGUGUCAAUUUCUACACCGAAACCCACCGUCGCCCACCCGUCGUUUCUGAACCCUCGAAACGACAUGGUGACCAGCCAACAAGGCUCAGCGACACAACAAAUGCUCAUGAGGCACCAUCGGAAAAAUUCCGAACAAAAACUGCGUUCCGUCGGCGGAUUUCGCCGAAAAACGCUUCCGGAAAUCAACAAUUGAUUUCCGGAUGGGCUUGGGGCCUUGGACGAUCAGUCCAGAGGUUACCCCCAGCGCCCACAUGCUGCCUACAGCAGCCACAACCAACAAAAUUGCAUAAAGGCCCUCCCAGAUACAUAAAAUCACAUUAUUUUAUGUGAUUCCGGGGCUUUUAUGGUUCGUCUAUACCAACCAGAGGUCAAUCGGCCAAGCCGAGGCACCUACUGACAGGUUUCGACGUGCCGGAGGCCGUGCUCACCUUUCGGAGCACUUUCGACCACUGAAGCACGCACACGAGUGACACAAAGAUCAGCGGAACAGCGCGCACAGCACUUAAAUAGCGUCGAAUACACAAACCAGGGCAUGUAUGACCCUAACAGAGGUUAGCACAGUGUUCAAAACGAAACCACGAUGAUCGUGCUCACCUCUACAGUCAUCGGGGUGCCUUCGGAUCACCGAAAAGGUGAUCGAAAUCCCUAACAGUGUGCUACAGUAUUAAAAAUAACCAUACCUGGAACUAGGGUUGGUCGACGGCGGCCGGGCGGCGGGCAAUCCGGCCGGGGACGGGUGCAGCCGGUCGAAGGGAUCCGUGGCAGGUGCUGGCCGGCGGCGGGCGGCAACCAGUCGCGCGGCGCAGGAGAUCAAUUCCGCCAAUAGCUCUCGGGUUCAAGGGCUCCCGGCGGCGAGGCGGCGGCCAGAGGAGCUCGAGGCGACGGCGAUCCGUCGACGGUGGCCGAGGGAAAGGCGAUGCGCCCCGCAGCAGGCGGCGGCGACGCACGGUCGGCGUGGGGACUCGGCCUCGGCCCGCACCAACCCAGGGCGGCCACAAAGUGCACAAGCGGCGGCCAGCGGUCCACGAGGAUGGCCGGGAUAGUAAGCGGGAGGUCGCCGGAGGUGCGAGGAGGGCGGCGCGGCCGGCGGGGAGCGGCAGUGGCGCGCGGAGGCAGAGAUCACCCAGACUCGGCCUGGGUGACUGUAGUUAGCCGUAGGGAGCUGGGGUGGCUCCGGCGGUGCAUGGGGACGGCGGAGGCCGGCGGGGAUGGCGCCGGGGAUGGGCCUCGGCCGGAGGGGAACACUUCCAGGGGUUGAGACAGCCUUUCAUCCUCCUUCGGCAGAGAGGGAGGAGAAGGUGGCCGAGAGGGUUAGAGAGGGAGGUGGUGCUUGGUUUUUCGGCGGCCGGAGUAGCACGCCGGCGGUCGGGACGCGUGCACGGCAGGGCAGAGCUCAGCUGGGGCGGCUAGGGUUAGCUGGAAGGACUAAGGUAGCAAAAAGGUCAAGGAAACCCUAGCUACCAUAUUUAUACUAAAAUGUCUUUUUGCCAAAAACCCCUCCAAAGCAUAUUAUUUACAGUCCAGCCCCUGCCAACGUGUGUAACCUGCGCGUACGUACCCCAACAAUCGAAAUAACGCGAAACAACGCAUAAAAUAUUGGACCUUUCGUGAUUUUUUUCCGUUUUUACCAAUUUAACCCCUCAGCGAACAUUCGUAAUUGCCGAAGAUCCGUUGGUCGGAUAUCCAAAUGGAUUGCGCCAGUGCGUUCAGCAUGACUGGGGCAUCAAAUAGCAUUUCGCUUCAUCUAAUUUGGUCGCCGAUCUGUGAUGAAGUCAACCCUCAUUACAUUCCACUAUGUAACCCUAUUCAUUUGUAUAUGUAAAUCCAAUCAAACCCCUUUUUCUCGAAAACUGUGCAUCAGAACCCAAAUCUGUCAGUGCCAUUGGGUCCAGAAUAGUUGAGCCGUCGAAAAUGAGCUAUUGGAUCGCUAUGUUCGGAGUCCAAUACGCACCAAAAGCCUUCUCUACUCAUUGGCUUCUCCGGAAAACCGGAGUUACUAUUCACUUUAAGUGAUUGGUACCGGUCUCGUAACUUCUCCAUCCUAACUCAUUUUCUCCUGAAAUUUGACGAGUGCUUAAGUAAUUACAUUACACACAAAACAUCGUCAACAAAGGGUUUAAUUAUAUUUUAAAAAUCUCGGAUAUUACAACAACCCACAUUACACCCCUACGUAGCACCUUUAGUCCAAAAGAAAUGCGUUUUAUAUUUAUUUUUUUAAAAAAAAAAGUUAUACUAUAUAUAAGUUUUGUUUGAGAGUGCAAAAAAAUCUACGUCUCAUGCGCUAUAUUCAACUUGGGAGUUUUCAGCCUACUAAAAAUUUUAGCUGAAAAUUUUUCAAUAUUACUUUGUUAGGAAUGAUUUUGAUUUGCUGACACGUAUUAAUUUUAUUCCUAUCUAAUAAUUCGUGGAUAAAAAUUAAAGUGAUACGUGAUAAAAAAUUAAUGCUCCUUAACUAUACAUUAUUGUAGAGUUUUAUUUCGAAUCGCUCGCUCUGCUCGCUCUGUUUUGAAAGUGAUGGCUGGAACUAGGGUAGGAUAUUGGGCGACGAGUCCUCUGCUCCACCGGGGCUGAGCCACACCGUAUUAGAGCUCAAAAAGAGAGUUACCAGCUGUACUAUAGGGCUUAGGGAGGAUAAGAUAGGUUGGCGAUGGGGCAGCAACGGUGAAUUCUCAGUUAAUUCGGCCUAUUGAAUGAUGAAUGACCGCGGGACGAGGGACGGACGUGGUAACUCGACUUGGAGGCUCCGAAUACCACUCACAAUCGAAGUAUUUUGCUGGCUAGUCCUUAAAAAAAGGGCACUUACUGCGGACAAUCUCAGUAAGAGGAGAUGGUCUGGAGAUACAGUCUGUGUCUUGUGUAGGGCAUGUGACGAGUCGGUAGACCACCUGUUCACCCAAUGCGUUUGUAUCAAGUUUAUCAUGGUUAUGGGACUCGAGGAUGUUCAGGCAGGGAAGUUGGGGGAAGAUGUACGUGUGGUUUGGGAUAGGUGGAAGGAGGUAUGAUGGACAAAGUUGGAAGAACGGACCUACUGAAUUGGCGACAUACUGGUGGACCAUCUGGAAGGGAAGGAACAACCUUAUCUUUCGUGACAUACAAUUCGAGUCUGCUCGAGCGGUGCAAAGCCUGAAACAGCUGAUUGAUUCUUAGAAACACCUUCUUUGAUUUUAUUUUUUUUUCAUACUUUCUCGAGACCCUGGUUGUCUCAACCAUGUAGCCUAAUUCAUAUCUUUAAUGAAUGAAGCAGGUAGCGUGCUACCUAUUCUCAAAAAAGAAAACAAUAAUAGGUAUGCAUGUGUUCGUAGCCGAAAUCCCUGGUCCUUGACCCGAUCAAAGACCCAAGCGUGUCGGGAUGGAAACAGCUUAUGGUACUGACCCUCGAAGUUUGCCCUCUUCGAAUGAUCAAGUGAUUCGGCUGACGAGGAAUCAAAUCAGUCGGGUUCGAAACCUCUAACAGUAAACUCGGUUCGGCGGGAUGAGCCGAAUGUACGGACCGAGCGAGAAACAAAAUACGACAGAAGAGCCGAACUAGCAGAAAAGGUGAGAAUUGGUCGGCUAGAGGAGCCGAAUGCCUUUAUAUUGAGUGGAAAGAAGUACAGGGGUCGAGUGUGCCGGAUGACAUGCAGACUCGUUGAUCUACUUUACUAACUACUCCUAGAAAGAACAGUAAAUGCAGAAAAGUUACAGGUAAACUACUCCUAGUGCAGGAAAUUGUAAGGAAUUAAGGGUGGUCUUUUGUUCGUAGGGGAAAAGACCAAUUUUAAGGGUGUUAUUGACCUAUUUAUAGGUCGCCCCUGUUGAUCAGUUAUUCCAUGUCCAUGAUCGGCCACUAUCCCUGAUUAUUCGGACCACUUUCAGCCGAUCGGAACCGCUUGUAACUGCUUGCGGUUACUAUAACUUUCCUUGAUUGGCGCGGCAGUUCUUGUUAAGAAGCCCUUCGAUGCUCCUGGUGUACGUCAAAAUUGUUUCCUUUAAAAAGAAUAUUAGAGCACCACAUGUCCGCGCCUAAUUGGUUCAAUAGCAUGCAUGCAUGUAAAAGAAUGAUGAUCUACCUAAUUAGCCACGGUACAUGAUAUUUUUCAUUAAAAGAAUUUUUUAAAAUUAUUAGAUUUUGUAUUUUUGUAUGAGGCAUAUGGAGUUUUUUGAUCGAUUAUUGUUAUUCCUAUAUAUAAAUAUAUAUAUCUAUAAUGGAAGAUAAUGAAUUAUUGUCCUAGUAUCCUUGGUAAAUAAUAGGACUUCUAAAAUCAAUCUUUUUUAAUAGUAACAGCCACUAAUGUAAUGGCACUACAAUAAAACUAAGCUAUAGCGAUACUUUUAAGUGUCCCUAAAACCUAAAAAAAGUGAUGCUGGCCGACAUUAAAAAUAGUAUCACUAUAUGUGCAGUCCCUAGGGUAUAUAGCGACACAUAAUAAAGUGUCGGUAUAUCCCAAAAUAAGUGCUGUAGUUUAGUGACACUUUUUUUUAGUUUUAGUGACACACAUAAGUGCCCCUAUUUUUUAAAAAAAAGUAAUUUUUUUUAUAUAGUGACACUUUAUAAGUGUCCCAUUGUCAUUCAAAGUAUAAUAUUUUAUUUAAACAUCUACUAUUAAACUUUAGUUAAGCUAAUCGCAUUUAUUAAAUCGAUGAGACUAAAAAAAACAAUCACCAAAGUUUCUUAAAUUCUCAUUAAAAUGAUAAAACUAAAAUUCAAAUAUUCAUACGUCACAACAAUUUACAAGGGGGCAAAGUGUCGAUUUUUAAAUGUCGGGGAGGGGGGAGUGAAAAAGCGUGUUAUUACAAGGGAGUUUUCUGUAAUUUAGCCUAAUAAUUAUAACAAAUCAAACUCUCCAACUGAAAAAAAAAAAAUCAAAAAUCAAAAAUUUUAUGAUAACAAAAUCAAAAAGUGCAUAAACGUAUUCUGAUCCACUCCACGAUUAUAUCCUUGGACCUGCACAUUGAAUAACAUUGGAAUUACUUAUUAAUCAACGAAUAAGUUUUGGACAUAUAUUAAAAUUAAGAUGACUAAAUUUACCUAAUGAAUAAUAAGCCCAUUAAAAGUCACUAAUUUCGAACACCACACCAUACCAUAACAAGAAAGUUACUAAUAAAUUUAGGUUCUAAAAUAACAAGAGACACUGUUUCAACAUGAUACAUGAUGUACUAUACUGUUUCGGAUGAACAUCAUAGAACUAUUUAAACAUCAUAAAACCAUUAGAUAUUUAUAUCAAAUUAUCAACUGUACGUAAUCGUGCAGACCUCUUUUGGUAUUAUCUUUUUUUUUUUUCUAGACUACAAAUCUUGCUAUUAUUGUUAGCUCUACUACUAGUCAUCUUAAUAAAGCAUUGACACAAAUAAAAGCAUGAAUUACACCGGUGAAGAAGAUUACUAUCUUCUAAUAUUCAAUGCUAAGUCAACUUAUGGCUCAGAAAAGCAUGAAUUACAUUUGGUACUCAUAUUUUUAUAAAUUAUUAUUCUUGGAAGAUAAAUCGUUGCAAGCUUCAUGAACUCAUUGAUACACUUCACUAGAUAAUGAUUAAAACCUUCUAGGUCCUUUGUCAAUAGAUAAAAGCAUAACAAUCUACCAUAAUGGAAUGGAUCAAACUAGUCUCCACCAGUAUACCCCUAAAAAUUACUAGUUGAAGGUCUUGCAAUAGAGAUGAUCCACGAGAUCUCAAAGAUGACAACCACAAAGCAGAAGCAUAUGAUGAUCGAUACGUUAAGACUUCAAAGAAUUAUGUUAAAACUACUAAUUAUUGAUCAUGUUAAUGGUUCUACUAAUGCUACAGUAAGUUGGUUCAUUCCUUACAGCAUCAAUAUUUUUUUUUGAGAGAGAUAGGUAGCACGCUACCCGCUUCAUUUAUUUCAUUUGGAAAUAAACCUAGCUAGAAAUGUGAAUCAACUAGGAUUCGAACUUGGGUCUCGAGUACCAACCACCAAGCCCUUUGCCACUUGCUCUAGGGACGGUCGGUCUUGCAGCAUCAAUAUUGUAGUUGCUCUUUCUAUAGCACAGAACUAUCUAUGGUACAAUAGCUGAGACCUUUUAGUUCUGCCUUAUGGUAUUUUUAGCUUAGUUCAGCUACUUUUAAAUUUACUUAAUUUACUAUCUCUACUUUCUUAGUCAGAAAGAUGCCUAAUAGGAUUGGACUUAUUCGACUCUAAGCUUUCAAACAAUAAAAGAAAACUUUCUAGUUUUCCCUGUUAUACAGAUAUUGUGAUCUUUCACAGUAUGCCCCUCUAGAUCCUCCAUAUGCACAACCUAAAUAAAAUUAUUCCAUGUUUUCGUGGUCAGAAAAUAAAAAUUUCUUCUCAGCCAAUGCCUUAUUUUAUUCACAGAUAACAAUAGAUAAGAAUACUGGGGACUCAAGCGACUUAACUUACAAAAUAGCCUAAUUUAAGGCAACUGCAAUACAAGGUACCAUACAAAAGAAUUUAUGGACGAAACUGAGGAUUCGAGAUCGAGAGCUCUUACUAGUGGAAUGGAGCACCGAAUCAAGAAGUGGUACCACCGAGGGCUCGGAUCAGAUUGCCGGGUCGAGGAUUGCCCUCGCGGGACCAAGGAGGUCGGUGCUGAUGAGGAUUGAGAACUAAACUACACAAUCACAACGAACUGAUGAACAAAAAUAAAAAAAGUAAGAUAAAAAGCAUAUAUUGGGCUGAGAUUUGAAAUGCAUUUAGUUCCCAGCUAAGAAAACUGGACUACUUGGAACUGUAAAACAAAGCAAAUUCUGAGCCUAAAGAAAAUUUUGAACUUAAUCAUUGGGUGUCGCAGGUACAUCACAUAUGAAUAUUGUCACGCCCCGAACCCGCUUAUUUGGUCGGUUUCGGGCACGCCGACAGACCGCCGAACAGAUAGGGUUUCUCUGGCACCGCGGACAGAGUCUCCCCUGUACGUCCAAGGCGUCGCAAUCGAUACAAUAUACGAAGUUCCAACUAGGAACACAUUUCAAUCAAAGAUUGCAUAAGGAAGUAUCAAAAACAUAAUCUACUUGUUAUUACAAACAUUCUCAUUCACUAGAUACAUUUUACAUCACAAACACUUAUUACAUUUAACUUCCAAAUACAAUCAAAAUUAUUACAACAUUGUUUAUUCUUUUCUUUUCUUUUCUUCUACACCCCUAGCUAGGCUAACUCGGGGUACCGUUAUCUCUAGUCUCGGUGGUAGGACGCUAUCUACGGAGCUACGCCCUCUCCUUGAGCCGACGCGCCGCUCACGUGCGAACCUGUACCCCCAAAAGCAACACGGGGGUAAGAACUAUAUAAAUAUAGUUCCCAGUGGGUACGGCCACCCAAGGGAAGAGCUCGACCCACAGGUCGAGGAGGCACUGCAACAUGUUAGUCCAACAAAUAUCGAACAGAUAUAUAUAUAUAUAUAUAUAUAUAUAUAUAUGCGAUAAUUGAAAUACAUGUCAUGCCUCACAACCAUGCAAUAUGAAAAUCAUGCGAUUUAUGCAACCAAUUAGUAGUUCAAUCGAUACUACUUUAAUCCUGCUAUUCAAAGCUCAUUCAAUUGACUUCGAAGUUAUUCCACUAUUUUAAAUUCAUAUCAAUUACAAUUCUGAUCAUAUGGUUCACAUGUUCGAAUUAAAAAAAAAAAAGAAAAAGAAGAAAAUCAAAAAAAGAAAUCCUACUCGUUUCAAAAAAAAAGGGAAAGGAAAGAAAGUUACAAAAAAAAGAAAAAAGAAAGAAGAAAAAAGAAAAAAAAAAAAAAGAGAGGAAGAAGGAACAAAACAAAAAAAGGAAAAAAAAGAAGAAAGAUGGAAAGAAAGCAAAAAAUAGAAAAGAAAAAAAAUCUUUGUCAUUUCAAAUAAAAUAAAAUAAGGAAGGAUUUAAAAAUAGUAUCAAAUACUUAAAUUCCUUAUAAGCAUAAGAAUGUAUAUAAUUCCUUUUAGAGGUUUGUUUGAAUUUUGUUUCUAAAAUGAUAAUGAUUCUUGAUCCCUAUAAAUUGGAUCAAGAUGUAAGUGGGUUUUUUUUUUUUUAGCAGUAACUAGAAAGAAAAAAAGAAGAAGUUGAGAUUAAAAAAAAAAAAAAGGAGAAAGAAGAAUACAACAGUAAGAAAAAAAAAAGAAGGUAAAAAAUAAUAAUAAUAAUUUUUCUUUUCUUCUUUUUCUCUUCUCUCCACGUGUGCACACAAGGCAACACUCCCCCCUCUCCCUCCUGCCGCAUGUCAGCAACAAAGGGAGGGAGGUGUGCUGUGAGCACACCUCUCACCCCAAAUCGUACCAAAAAAAAAAGGAAGAAGGAGAAGCUUGGCCUUUUUAUUCAACGACGACGACAAUGACGACGACGACUUCGACAAUGGCGCGAUGACAACGACGACAACAGUGACGACGUCGACAAUGGCGCUCUAACGACGACUUCGACGAUGCGCAAAGAGGCCAUAGGGCCUCUUUUCUUUUUUUCUUUUCUACGAUGGUGACGGGUCAUUGUAUACGUGCAAACGAUAUAGUUGCGAUUUUAUGUCGGUUUGAUCAACACGACCGUCUUCGUGAUAGGUCGAUCCGAUCAAAUUUGACAUUCAAUCGUUACCAUAUCAUGCGCGCGUAUUCAUUAAGCCCGUCUCCCUCAACAUCAAAAGAAAAAUUGUGCGCACGAGCGACACGACGGUGACGAUCCUUGUGUCGGAUUGAUUGAGCGGCCGUAUUCGUGAUAGGCUCGACACUUUCAAUCUCAACGUUGGAUCGUUACCCUCAUUGGACUUAUGAUCAUACCGAGUGGCCGUCUUCGUGAUAGGCUCGACACGGUUGAACUUCGAUUCGGACCAAAAUGAUUACAACAAAAAACAAAAUAAUAAAAAAAUGAUAAUAAAUAUUUUCUCGGGUCGCCGUCUUCGUGAUAGGCUUGACCCAAGUUCUGUUCAAUUAAACCGGGUCGCCGUCUUCGUGAUAGGUUUGACUCGGGUUUGGAUCAUUAAACCGGGUCGCCGUCUUCGUGAUAGGCUUGACUCGGGUUUGGAUAAUUAAACCGGGUCGCCGUCUUCGUGAUAGGCUUGACCCGAGUUCGGUUCAAUUAAACCGGGUCGCCGUCUUCGUGAUAGGCUUGACCCGAGUCCACCAAACCAUAAUGAUAAAUCAAAUCGGAUUAUCAGCCGAUCAAGUCUAAUCAAUGAGUCUAAUUGAACCAUUAAAGACAUUAACCGAACCAAAUCAAACUACAAGCUAGUUUGACUUGAACCAAACCACAAAGAAUUCAACUUGAACCAAAUCAAAGUAAAUCCUGUCUGAACCGAACCGAACAGGAUUCAACUUAAACCAAAGUGAAUCCGAUUUGAACUAAACCGAACCGGAUCCGAACCGAACCAGAUCCUGUUUGAACCGAACCGGAUCCUAUUUGAACCGAACCGAACGAGAUUCAACUUAAACCAAAGUAAAUCCGAUUUGAACUAAACCGAACCGGAUCCUGUUUGAACCGAACCGGAUACCGUCUGAACCGAACCGAACGAGAUUCAACUUGAACCAAAGUGGAUCCAACUUGAACUAAACCAUAAAGGAUUUAACUGAACCACAAAGGAUUCAAUACGAACCGAAGUGGGUCCAAUCCGAACUAAACCACAAAGGAUUCAACUCGAACCGAAGUGGGUCCAAUCCGAACCGAACAGGAUUCAACUCGAACCAAUGUGGGUCCAAUCUGAACCGAACAGGAUUCAACUCGAACCGAAGUGAGUCCAAUCCAAACCGAACAUGAUUCAACUCGAACCAAUGUGGGUCCAAUCUGAACCGAACAGGAUUCAACUCGAACCGAAGUGAGUCCAAUCCAAACCAAAUCAUAAAGGAUUCGACUUGAACCAAAGUGGAUCCGAUCCGAGCCGAACCAUAAAGGAUUCAACUGAACCGAACCGUAUUCGGUCCGAACUAAAUCAUAAGGGAUUCAAUUUGAACUGAACCGAACCGGAUCCCGUCUUAACCGAACCAAGAAGCAUUCGACUCGAACUGAAGUGGAACCGAUUCGAAUCAAACCAUAAAGCAUUCAACUUGAACCGAAAUGGAUCCGAUCCGAACCGAACCAGGAAGGAUUCGACUCGAACCGAAGCGGAUCUAAUCCGAACCAAAUGGAUUCAACUUGAUCCGAAGUGGAUCUGAUCCGGACAGAACCACAAAGGAUUCAACUCGAACCAAAGUGGAUCCAAUCUGAACCAAGCUGCAAAGGAUUCAACUUGAUCCGAAAUGGAUCCGACUUGAACCGAACCGAACUGAACCGAACAGGAUUCGAACCAAACCGGAUCCCGUCCGAUCCGAACCGAACUGAACCGAACCGGAUCCGAACCAAACUGGAUCCCGUCCGAUCCGAACCAAACUGAACCGAACCGGAUCCCGUCUGAACCAAAUCAUAAGGGAUCCGACUUGAACCGAACCCGAUCAGGAUCCGACUCGAACUGAAGUGGGUCCAAUCCAAACCGAACAUGAUCCGACUUGAACCGACUCGAGCUAAAUUCGGUUCAAUCCAAUCAGGGUCUAACUCGAACCAAGGUGGAUCCAACCCAAACCAAACCAUAAAGAAUCCAAUUCAAACCAAGUCUGGAUAGAUCCCGAACCAAAGCAUAACGGUUCAACCCCACAAACUCAAAACUCAAAACCCAAAACUCAAAGUCCACAAAGAAAAUCCAAAAUCCAAAGCCUACAAAUAAAGCCAAUGACCGAAAAGUCGUUAAACUAAACAAUUCAAACGACCGAAAAGCCGUUAAACUAAACAAUUCAAACGACCAAAAAGUCGUUAAACUAAACAAUUCAAACGACCGUAAAGUCGCUAAACUAAACAACCAAAUCCAAAGUGACCAAAUAAACUUGAAGUCGCCCAACUCAAACUAAGUCUUGAUGGGUCCCGAACGACCCAAACCAAAUCUUAAUGGGUCCCGAACGACCCAAACUGAACCAAGCCUUGAUGGGUCCCGAACGACCCAAACCUUGAUGGGUCCCGAACAACCCAAACCGAACCAAGUCUUGAUGGGUCCCGAACGACCCAAACCAAGUCUUGAUGGGUCCCGAACGACCCAAACCAAACCAAGUCUUGAUGGGUCCCGAACGACCCAAACCAAGUCUUGAUGGGUCCCGAACGACCCAAACCGAGCCAAGUCUUGAUGGGUCCCGAACAACCCAAACCAAGCUUUGACGGGUCCCGAACGACCCAAACCGAACUAAGUCUUGAUGGGUCCCAAACAACGCAAACCAAGUCUUGAUGGGUCCCGAACGACCCAAACAAAGUCUUGAUGGGUCCCGAACGACCCAAACCGAGCCAAGUCUUGAUGGGUCCCGAACGACCCAAACCAAGCCAAGUCUUGAUGGGUCCCGAACGACCCAAACCAAGUCAAGUCUUGAUGGGUCUUGAACAACCCAAUCCAAACCAAGUCUUGAUGGGUCCUGAACCAAAGCAUAACGGUUCAACCCAAAACCAAUUCAAACGACCGAAAAUGUCGCUAAACUAAACCCAAAAUUCAAACGACCGAAAUGUCGCUAAACUAAACUCAACUUCAAACGACCGGAAAGUCGUUAAACUAAACCCAAUCUAAAUGACUGCGAAGUUGUUCAUCAAAACUUGAACUCGACCGCCAUGUCAUUAAACUGAGCAUGAAAACUUAAACUUGACCACCAUGUCAUUAAAUUGAGCAUCAAAACUUCAACCGACUGCCAUUGGGUAUUUAGUCUGAUAAAAUUCAUGUACAGUGAGGGUAUGCCCCUGCUUAAGCCAUGUAAACGGCAAAUCAUAUCAAUAAAAUUUCAUUUGCCUGUUUUGUCUUUUUUAUUAUCAGCAUUUAUAUUUGGUCUCUUAAUCGAGGGUUCCUUAAUACCAAAAGUGUGGGGUAAUUAACAGCAAAUUCUUGAGUUUGUUGGAAGCCAUGAACCUAUAAUCCUGAUUUCAAAGUAAAAUUCAUACAAAUUUAACCUCUACCAUGAAUGACCACUCGCCCUAGAAACACCCUACGGCGGGGCCGGUUGGUUCGUGGCAGACACUCAUUUACCUUUAUCAACUAUCCACCCGACUCGGUCUCGAGUCAAUCAUUCGCGGAGUACCGCGUAAAGCCAGGCUCGAGGCGAAGGACGUCUCACUUGUACCUCAGCCUUAAGUCCACUCAACUAGGAUAUUGCUACAGCUCAUGUGCUUGUUACUCAAUCUCUUGGCUAACCCGAAGGUUUCGCCCUCAACAAACUCACCAACCCAAAAUCCCAUUAACCGGGGAGAUACCCGCUACAACCCGGUGGGAUCGUCCUCUGGGGAUAUACCCGCUACAACCCAGUGAUGUCGACUCCGGAGCACAUCGCCCGAGAGGGAGCUACCACAACCUUGAGCAAGGACUAAAGGUGAGUAUGAUCAAUCUUACAUUUGAGGACUCCAAGUUCAAUCCAUUCCUUAACUUUAGGAUGACUAUGCUCAAAUGACCCUAAACUCUAGGGUUGAAAUGUCAUAAUAUUUCAAUCAUUCUUUUCUUUGCAUUCUUUACUAUCACUUGUGUCAUAUACACUACUAUAUUCUUGGACUCAUGCCACACUUGUUUUCUAAAUGUUCAACAUGCCAUAAGUGUUUCCAUUAUACUAAUCAUAUGCCACUCAAUCUAAUAUAUAUAGAUUGUCCACGUCACAUAUCAUAGUUCAUACGUCAUUGUUUUCCAACGUCGAGUUUUCUAACUAUCCAAGAGUUAUAGACCCAAGUUCAACAUGCAUAUGUUAUUUAACAUAGUCCACAAUACAUCAACGUGCAUAUAUAUAUCAACUCAUAUCUCAAGGUAUAUCAACAUGCAUACAUUUCCAUCUUCUAUGUUCCACAAUAUGACAAUAUGUCAUCAAGUAUGUUUUUCUAUUUAACAUAAUCCACAAUAUGUUAAUUCAUAAUAUGUCAUCAUGCACAUAUACCACUAGCAUCACAUGAUAUGUCAACAUACAUAUAGUUAUUAUCCAAAAUAGUUCAUACUUAGCAUCUCAUGCAUUCUUUUAGCAUUUAAUUCACUAUGCAUCUCAUCUCAUUGGUAGGUAAUCUCAACUACAUAGUAUGUUUCAAGCAUUCAUAUCAUUAUGUAAGCCUACCAACACAACUAUAUGCAUCAAUUAGAAAACCAUUACUCUUAGACAUAUAGGCGACCUAGUCGCUUCGGUGAGCACAACCCACCUCAUUUCGCAUUCCGAUUGCUUGUCGACACUUGCAAUCGGCCUCCCGCGGCACCCAGCAUCCGGUUUGGCCCGAUCUCUCGCGCGACCACCUGAAUGGCCUCCAAUUCACGAUCCGAAAAUUAAAGGUCUUCGGUUAUGUGCCACGGUGCUUCAAAUCCGUUUCAUGAGUAUACGAUGUCGCCUCAGCCCUCCAGGCGAAAACGAAGCCUAAACGUCCGUUUCUUUAAUAACUUCGCAACGGCUCGACGAAUCGCCUAACCGACUUCGCCAACGCGUUUGUUUACCUAGCAAUUAGGUUUACAUAGGGUCAAUUUAGAUCAAACCCAUACAUUUUAUAAAACCCCAAAAUUGGAGCCCUAACAUGCUACUAUUGCAAUAAGCUUCAAAAUUGAUUCAUGAUUCAAGCAAUUAGCAUGUAGAUAUCAUAUAGAGAGUCUUCUAAACCCAUUCCUAGAGCAUAUAAUUAAAGCUCUAAGGUUCUACCAUUUUUAAAAGCCUAGCCUCUACACAUGCUCCAAUUAACCCAAAUUAAAUGGAUUCAACAUGCUAAUCAACACAUUAGGGGCUAUUAGAAUACUAAGCAUUAAGAAUUAAGCCAAAUCCCAAAAGCUUACCUCAAUGUGAACGCUGCGACGAAAACACUCCGCUCCAACGGCCGCAAGAAAGCUCGAUCUGUCGCUCCCAACGCGUUCGCAAGCAUCAUCUCCAUCAACCCCGCGAAUUUGAGUGAGAGAUAUAGAGAAAUGGGAGAGAAAUCUAGAGAGAGAAAGGUUCCUUUCUCUCUCUCACCAUGCGCACGAGAGGGUGGUGGGGUGCUGGUCGGUUGGGGAAGAAGAAGCAACAUCUUCUUUUAAUUACACCCCAAAACACUAUUCACUCCAGGACAGUUUAGUAGUUCGGAACAGUUGGAGCCCUUCUGAAUGUCCGUUUGGGCUCAAAUUUGACAGGCAGACUCGGUUUAACAUACUUAGUAAGAAUAUAUCUUAAGUUUUCAGUUUCGACCUCGUUUGGUCACUGAAAACUGUACCGAACUGUAAUCUUUAUUAGAUAGCAGUCGGAUUUUAUUUCUCACUCUACGGGUGUCAGAAAAAUAUGAAACUUUAAAUCUAGCCUCAUAAAAAUAUUUCUGACUUAUCCUCCAAUUUUCAUAAUUUUCUGAGACUGUGCAUUUUAUGCUAAUUUAUCUGUCCCGUUUCCAACAGAAAAUUCUAAAUCUUCUAUUUCCAGUCCGAUUUCAGCACAAGUCAUUUCUGACUUAUGUUUUACUCCUCUAAAUCCAAUAAAAAUAGUAUCACAUACUAUUUUUAUUUAUUUUUUUAUUUUUAUAUCAAAAUCUGGUAUGUUACAAAUAUAAUCUCUGUACCGUCCAUUCAAACUUGUAAUCAUAUCUCCAGAGGUAAAAAUGUAGCUACCCUGUAAACCAUAGGCAAUUUGCAAAUGACCCUCACAACUUCAUUCCUUUUCAUUGAGGCACCAUCCAUUUUUUCCCAGUAAUUUCAAGUUCUAUCAACAUUCAAGUAGCUAAUAGCUUUUUCAUUCAAAAGAAAAGCAGGUGUGUUCAUCAAGUAUCAAGUAUCAAGCAUAAAGAACAUUUUAUUCCUGCUAUUUCUACUGCUUUAUUUUUCGCACAAAUAAUAGAAAAAGAUUAAAAUUUAUAUUGCAGGAUAAAGUAAAAAAAAAAUGAGUUUCACAGCCUAAAAGGCAAGAGUUUUCAUUUGGUGCUUCUAAUUUCACUCCAAAGAAAAACUAUCGGAGGCAUUAUUUUGAAAGGAGCAAAGAUAUUUGACUAUACUAUGGAGGAAGCAGAAAUAUUUGAGAAUAUUAAUUUUCUUUUUUUUCCUUAUAACACUAAUUAGAUAAUAAUUUUGUCAUAUAGUACUAUCAAUCUCUUAAUCGAUGCUAAGUUCACAAAUAAUCUUGUAAAUAAUAUGAAAGUUUGUAAAUAAUAUGCUUAUGCGAUAAAGUUUGUAUACAAUAAAAUUUAUCUCUUUAAAGUGCUAAUUUUACUUAAUAUUGCAUAUAAAAUUGUACAAAAAUAAAUAAGCAACAAAGAACACAUAGUUAAAAUAGAAAUAUAAUGCAUCAAUCUUGGAAGUUUAACAAGCAUUUAUUUUAUACCUUCAAUAUUCACUUUAUUUUCUUUUGAUUUAGAUUUGUAGAAGAAUUUGAAUGAGUAAAACUUUCUGCAUAUUCAUCAUUUUGUGCUUUGCUGAUUGGAAUUAGAUUGAGGCUCCUUCCAAUAUUCAUCUUCACUUUGAGUUAUUCGGAUGCCUUUUCCCUUUGUCACCUCUUUCAAUAAAAUUAAACAAAAGAGACUCUUAAAACUGUGAUUAGAAAGUCACUUAUAUCAAUCACCACACCAUAACAUGAGAAAAAAGUUACUAACAAAUAUAGGUCCUAAAAUAACAAUAGAUACUGUUUCAUUAUUGUGAUUAGAACGUCACAAUAAUGAAAAUUUUAGGGAAAACUUCAAAACCCCCCCCCCGUGGUUUCGCACUUUCUCACUUGAGUCCCCUGUGGUUUAAAGGAAACUUCGCGGCCGACGUCGUGAUCUUCAACUCGCUGCGGCCGAAUGCCGACCAGUGCAGGGUAAAGAACGACGGCUGCCGGAUCCUGAUCGAUGCAGACUCGGUGAUGUACAACAUCACGCGGAGCGGCGGGAAGCAGGUGGUCGGCGACUUGCCGGAAAAGUAGUGCAAGUGGUUCCUCUUCUUUGCCUAUGACUACCGGCAGAAGCCUCACCGCCACCCCUUCGUCGGCCACAUCAUCAGCCGCUGGCAGUGGUGGAUUAGUAGUUAACUAACUAGAAUUUCGCUAUGCCCGCGCAUGCGUACGUUCGCGUAAAAUCACAGCAUCUAUGCGAUUUAAGAAACUACCGAAAGAUGUACACAUAUAAAGAUGAAUAAUGUGUAUGUACACAAUACAUGUAUGAUUGAGAAGGCAUAAUAUUUUUUUAAUUAAUUAAUUGAUUAAUUAAUUACUUGGAUGAAGUAUUAAGCAUGUAAUUGUAUUAACUGUGCUUGACUCAUCAGUGAUUAUUUACAUAACAAGAGCAUACUUGAAAGGAAUUUAAUAAGAUUUGAAAAAAAAAAAAGAGAACGAUUUCUUAGAUUUUGAGCAAUUUGCUUUUGCAAAAAUUAAAUUAUACAAUUUUAGAAAAUACGUGUUCAAAGUGUAUUGGUUUUGAGGAGUAAACACAAAAUUGGAUAAAACAAAGGAAAAGAUGCAGUAACAUCGCAACCAAUCUAAAUUUCAACAGGAUUAGUCAUCGUAUUUGUUUAUUAAAUUUUUUUCUUAUAGUAUUAAAAUUGUUGCGUAGAUUUUACACCGAGAAUUAAAUAUGAUAUUAUCUCUCUAAAAUUACAGUAAAACCUUUUGAAAAUUGAAUGGUAAAAUAGUUUACUUAUUGAUAAAUUAAAUUAGGUGUAAGAGUAACAAUAACUUAAUCAUUGAGCGUUACGAAUUGAACAACCUUAUACUCUUACAACUUCAAUUAAACUCUAAUCACACACUACCUUCAUUAUUAUGCUUUUUAAUUUACUUUCUGAGUAGUUUCUCGCGAAAGCCCCUAAGAAAUAUUUAAAGAACAAUAAUAAACGUCUCUGAAUUCAAAACACGACAACACUUCAUAAUUAAGUUGCUAUGUAUUUAUCACAAUUUAAUUUCAAGUAACAUAACUAAUAAAUACAUUUGUUGUGUUCUUUAGUUGAAAAUUACACUCCUUGAUGUUCCUUAACUUAUUAUUUAUAGGAAAGAAUAAAAAACCCGCAUAGGGGUUACCUAAUCUAUAAGGCACAUUUGUAAACAGGUGAGGAAACUUUGAAAGUUUGCAUUUUAGUACUUAAUAAUUUUGUAAACAAUUUUGAAUUUAAUAUCUUGCAGUAAGGAUAGCUACUCGAGAAAUUAUUACCUGCACCUACUCCUUCCACACAUCUAUAUAUACCAAAAUUAUAUUUUCAGAAAGGUUAAGUACUGAAAUGCAAAUUUUUGCGAAUUCAGUUACCUGUUUAUAAAUGAGCCAUAAGUCAGGCAGUUUUCUUGUCUUUCUCAGCAUAUAUAUAGAGGCUCAGAAUCAGACACCAAUUUCUUGUAUAGCAUAUACCAAGAAGUAGUUCAGAGAUCCAAAAGUUAAACAAUGGCCGGGCGGGGGCACGGCCGCGGCCUUCUCCUACUCGCGAUCCUCCUCGUCGUCUUUCCUUCAGCCCUCUCCGAGCUGCACAACAUCAUCAUUGUGAGCCGGAUGGCGGAUGAGGUCGCCCUCAAGUGCCGCAUCCGGAUCCUCGGUGAAACAAUCUUCUUCAAGGACUUCUACCUGAAGCCAGGGGUCCUGGAUGAGCAGAUCUUCACACCGACGAAGCGGCCCUUCUUCAUAGAGUGCUACUACGGAUAUAAGGGCAACUACGCGUCCAAAGUACGGAUUUUCGAUGUGGUGUGGCCGGACGCGUCAGAUUGCCGCGUCGACCGCGGCGGGUGCUUAUACGAGAUCAAGGAUGCGGUGCUGUACAAGACGACGAGGGCUCACGGGAAGCGCGUGGUCGGGGACCUCCCGAUAGAGCAAUGCAAACGAUUCCUUGGAAUCGCCACUAAAUGCUGGCAGAGGCGCCACCGUUACCGUCUUCUCGGCGAGAAGAUCGACUACUGGGAGUUUUUCUGGGCACAAUGAUAUCGACAGAACUGUUUUUGUUUUCUACAGGGCAAGAAAGUUAGAAUUCUCAAAAGAUAUAAUGUAUUUGUCCUGUAAAAUGCCAAAAACAAACGGAUUUGUUUAGUAUCUCGGUUCCUAAUUAGAUAUACUUAGUGCUUAUAUAAGCAUGAUGAUACUAAUUAAUUAGAUGCUCUCAGUAACACAAAUAUUUCUACUAAAAUGUUUUCCUUUUUUGUUCCCCUCCACUGGAUAAUAUGAUCAAUCUCCAACAAAUAUAUCACAAGAUUAAAAGAGAGAGAAACAGAGAACAAAAAAAAUGAAAAGAAUUUCCUCUUGUGCAUACAUUAUUCUAAAUUGGGUGUAUACUUCUCUAAAAUUACAGUAUGUAAAAUUCUCUGUAUUCGCAAAGUUCUGUGCCACUACAGAAUUUCUUAUAUUGCAUUAAUCCAGGCACUAUUUAUCUCAAUCAAUAUUUAAUCUAUGUCGACUAUAUGAUUGUGAGAAUAAUGCCAAUAGGAAAAUCAUAUCUAAAAUAUAGCCGACUCAUCCCUCUUACUAGUUAACAUUGCCAUUGCAUCAAGGACAACAUGAUAAUUUUAAUCAGAAAAGCAUAAUAAAAUGAUAACAAUUUGUGAUUUGCUUUAAUUUAAAAUACCUUUUUUAAAAAACGAAUUAAUCCUGAUAUGACAAAUGAUGCUUCCAAAGCCGCAGGCCCUAAGCGCUCGGCUCAGCGAUGAUAGAGGAAUACCCCCCUUUCUUGCAAUAACAUAAAUCACCCUGUGUUUCUUCAGAAAAUAGAUGACGAAUUUCUGCAGUCAGCUAAAAAAGCAGCUAAAAAAGUUUGGCAUAUAGCAUUCAAGCACUUUCAUAAAGCUUCUGUGUGAAUGCGCGUCCUCUAAUACGAUGAAAUUAUGUUCUUGAAUGCUCUAUGGUGUGAAAUGGAAUUAAAAGUAAUACAAAAGACCACAUAUAUGCCUAUUUCCUAAUUCGGCAAAUCUAAGAUGCGAGCUUUGGUACAUACCUUCAUGAAUUUGCUUCAUCUCAAUAACAAAGUAAAAUAGUCAUGAAUAUCUGAGCUCAUUCACCAUAAAUCUUCACAGGAACACUUUGCAUGCUUAAAAUGAUGAAAGCGGUGUGUAUCUCGAAGAAUUAUCUCCAUCUCCAUGACUUGGCUUAUAUACUUAAUAGCCUCAUGACAGUCCUCGCAGACACGCAGAUUUUUCAUGACCCUAAGAGGUGUUUUCUGGGGGUGGAAAUGAUCCCAAAAGCAAUAGCUAGCUUCUCACUAUGGAAAUUCAAUGCCGACUCUCUUUGUUCUUCUUCUACAUCAUGAAGAACCAAAUUCGUUCUACUCAAAUACCCUAUUUCCUUCAACCUUGCAAUCAAUUUAUUUAAAUAAGAAUAAAUUUCAUCGGCUUUGGGAUGUGACUUAUCCCCCACAACAAAUGUGUGAAUCAUGUUCUGUAACGACCCAACCAUGUGACUUAUCCCCCACAACAAAUGUGUGAAUCAUGUUCUGUAACGACCCAACCAGCCCAAAAUGCAUAACCCUAGUUAUUAUUACUAGUGUCUGAGUCUCUUAUAAACCCAAUGACAACCCCUUUCCCAUCCGAUGUGAAACUAUUGGGGUGUCACAGACUCCCCCCGUUAAGGCCCCGACAUCCUCGUCAGUCCAAUCACACACACUGCCCAAGAUCACCAGGCGAUGUGAGACUCAUCUCGCUAGCCUGUCAUCCAGACCUUGGCUCAGUCGAGACUCGCCACACAUGUCCAGCUGGUGAACCGGCUCUGAUACCAAAUGUAACGACCCAGCCCACUAGCAACAAUAACUCGUUGGGCCCAACCACCGGCCCAAAAUGCUUAAGCCCAGUUAUUAUUACUAGUGUCUAAGUCUCUUAUAAACCCAAUGACAACCCAUUUCCCAUCCGAUGUGGGAUUAUUGGGGCGGUUACAUGUUCUUAUUGAAUCCAAGAUUGACCGAGUUGUUUUUCUAACCCCUCUUUCAUGCAUUAAACUUUUCAAUUCAAAUUAUCUUCCUAUUUCCUUUAGUGGAAUAAAUUUGACAGCAAAAUGUAGGAUCUGCAUCAUAUGGGUUCCAGCUCAACCAACUUUUCAGAAUGCCAUAUUGCAUCUUGAUGUAAUUAUGAGCAUGCAUGCCAAUAAAAAUGCUCUCUAAACAACAACAUAAUGAGCUUAUUUUAUUUUCAUAAAUGAAUGUUUUGCCCUGUCAAGGAUCCGGAUCGACCAUAGAGAUCAGCUAUAAAAGUAUAGUGUCUACACUGGACCUAUGUCACGCCCCGGAUGUCUCGUUCCCCGGGCACCGCGACAAAUCCGCCCGUAUACAAAGAAAUUUUCUCUGUAUACGACAGCGACAGCUGUACCUGUAAAUCAAACACUACUACGAAACAGUAGUAGAGAGUGCUAGAGAAAACAGAAGCUAAACAAGCUGAGUUUCAUAUACAUAGUCAAUAUCCAAAACAGAGCUACUCGCACUGCGAGUUAAGUCAACUAUGUACAUAAACUCGAAACAAAACAUCUACCUGCGGUAGGGGCACCUCUAGCUCAGCACGUCGAGUAGGGCUCUAACUCGCGACGCCCUUGCCUCGAUCCUGGUCCGCGACGGGCAGCAGCCGGAACCUGUGGCUCUGCAAAAACAUAGGUAACAACUGGGCGUGAGAACUACUGUAAAAACAAGUAGUCCUCAGUGGGUACCGCCCAAAACAACAUCGGUCCACCCACUAAGUCUACAGAAGGGAGCAACAGUAGUCAGAAAAGCAGGAAAUAAACUCUACCGCUAUCGAUCACUACACUAUCAUGCUCUACACUAACCAACUGUAGGAAAUAUCAACUCUGACCCAAUCGAAUCGGAACUGUAAGCAUAUCCGUCCCCGGACUGUGAAUACACCGUCCCUGCCCGUUGCGACUAUCGGGCUCUAUCACACUAACUGGUCGUAGAGAGCAAGUCAACUGGCAUGAGCGACACCAACGCGAAAGCAAAAGCUGACUUCCGGAGUAGCAUCGUGGGCGCUACCAACCGAGUAUGCCAGCGUAUCUCUGUCGAGCUCAAACAGGCUCUGAAAAGCCAAAGUCAAGAAAUCGACUCUAACUGGUCUAACAACCAACAAGUAACGUGCCCUCAGUACAAUCUGACGCCAAAAAGGCGAUACGGGUCCACCGUCACUCUGACGGCACCCCACAGUCCGGAACAACCUGAACAACACUGUAAAAAUCCACUCGGCAUACCAGCACGAGCGUAAAUGUCUACUAAACCACCUGGAGUACUCGUCUCGAGGAUACUGCGACAGUACAAUUUAAUAACGGCUCCUAGAACUAAAUCAGGCAGUUUAAUCAAGUGACAUGUCCAAAUCGCAAGUUUUCUCCUAAUUCAAUUUUCAAGUCCAACAUGUAUAACCUAUUCAAUUUAUUACCACAUGCUCCAAAUUCAGAUAUGCAAUCUACCAUUUAAUCCAUGAAUUCGAGUUAGAAUAGAUUAUCCAAAAAUUGAAAACUAUACAUGUCGACGAUUAGAACUAAGGAGUCAAAACCGAUGUAACCCACCUCG